GAUUCAACGGGUAGGACAUGAAUGAAGGCACUUUCAUAUGGAUCCUCCAAAAAGACAAAACAUGCUGGAAAUUACCAGAGCCAAUGACCAAAGCAUGCCAUAUCUCGUACUCCACUUUAGACCAUGUAAAAUAGUUCAAACAUGCAACCAACUUGACGGACUGCACAAACCUGUAUACUUGCUAGGUGCUGCCUAUGUUCAGCAAGUGUUGCAGCCAAGGAUUCCGUGUGACUGCUUGUACCGCCAUCAUGUGAACUUCUCAGAAGCUCUGGACCCUCUCCAUCAUUUACUUUUGCCUGAAUGAAAUUAUUGUAUUAGGAAGAAAAGGAAAAAGUGAGGAGAACAUACUUUUAACCUAAUUAUUCACAAAAGAAUAGAUAGGUUCCAGUAUUAUACUUCACCACAUAUGUGAAAGCUUCAAAUGAACACGGAACUCUGGAAGUUUUUCCUUAAGACGUCACUAGAUAAAGAUGCUACAGAUUAAUUUCUCUUAAGCUCAAAACAUAAGCAGAUACAAUACUCUAUCACAUGCUAAGACUGAUUUUAUACACAUUCCUUGACUGUAGAGUAAGCUCUGACAUCAUAGUUAGACUCUAAGAAGUUAAUUCCCCUUUUGGACCAUUAGAAACCCAGAACACCACAUAAUAAGAAACAUCACAAACAUAGAGAAAAAAGAAUGACAAAUUCCAUCAAAGUAGUUAAAACUUAGAGUUUAUUGGGGUCAAAAGCGCUCCUCAAAGACCUAAAAUCCUGAACCAACAUAGAAGAUAGCGUACUAAUUGAAGUGACUGCUUAUGAAUUCGUUGCAGAGCAUGUGUCCAACGCCUCAAAACUUCAGCUAUAUCAAUAGUUGGAUGGGCUCUUGCAUUCCUUUCAUCAACUCGAGAAAAACUCUCAUCAUUUGUUUGAGUAUGAGAAGAAUCUGGAUUGUUCACAUGCUUUUCUCUAUCAAAAUCUGCUUGUGAUCUUUCAGAUUGAUCUUUAUUAUCUAGAUGUGAUGGAACUAAAUCACGAGGUGGAGCUACAGAACUUUGAUCCAUAGCUGCAAGCAAAGCUGACCCAGAUAUACGAUACCUGAACAAGAAUAUUUAAAAAACAAUAUGAAGGUAAGUCCAGCUUCUGAAACCCAAGAUCAUACGGAAAGUGACUUUACCUAUGCUCACGAUGAGCUAUAAGAUCCUCUAUUGGGCCAGAAGAGAGAAUCUGGUGCUGAGCUGCACAACAUAUGCACAUAAGUAAUAUGAUUUAGAAGAAGUUAAAACUGAUCUGGGACGACUUUAAUAUCUAAUUGUCACAUUAAUUGCAAUAUCAAAUGUCUAGCAUUUUGUGCCAAGGGAAGGAUAGCUAGUGGAAAGGAUCCUCCACCUCCAACCCUGAGGUUGUGGGUUCAAUCACCAAGAAAGCGAAGAGGAAAUGGCCAUUGUUGACUCCCAGGCAGGGUAAUGGCAUUGCCAUAUGAAAAACAAACUAUGGAGUAUAUAGCAUUUUGUAGAACACAUACUAAUAGAGACUUUAUGGAUUUUACUGAUGAUAGACAGCUUAAGAUAACCAUCAACAGUUUGUACUCACUUUGGCGGGAUAGCAAAGAGUCCCACAAGCGAGUAGCUCUUUGGACCAUAUGCGAGUUUUGACUCGAGCUUGAUACAAGUUCAUCCCACAGUUCACCUUCCAACUUUACUUUGUUUCUAACAUCAUGCAGUUUUUCAAGUUCUUGCUGCAAAUAAGCCUGAGACCGAGGGGAUGAAAGAUGUUUUUCGGAAAGAGUUACUCACCAGCCACCGCUGUGAAUAUAAGAAUAUAAAUCAACUCUAAAGUUCUCAGAGAAUAAGAUUCUUAUCUUACCUCUUCAGCACAAAGGCCUCGAAACUCAGCUGUCAUCUCAUGAGCCAAAUUAGACCAUGUGGCCUGUCUUUGAACAGCUGUUUCUGCAUUUUCAGAAACCUUCUUCUUUCAUGAGCAAUCCUAGCCUACACGGGACAACAAGGACAAAUUGGAUCUGCAAACUUGCAAUAUUAAGCUGUUUCUGCAUUUUUCAGAAACCUUCUUCUUUCAAGAGCAAUCCUAGCCUACACAGACAACAAGGACACAAUUAGAUUUGCAAAUUCCAGAUACAUAUUAGCUUAACGAUUAGCUAGGUAAAAUCAUUAUAGCCCCACUCAAUACAUUAUUCCGGAGUAUUGAAAAAGGAGAAACCAUUACUCCAAGGUAUAUUAUUAGGAUUAGUAACAGGAAAAAGCUUCAUACAAAAAGAAAACUAAGCCCUCAAAAGUGAAUAAUUAAGAGGAUUCAUGCAUUGCUUCUUUGAAAUGGCAUAAAUUGAACCCUGGUCUUCAGAUAUAACUACCCAACAGAUGCAUUGAAUCAUUAGAGAUCAAGAACCCAGCAACUCAGGAAGUAAACAAACAGUGAGAUGAUUUUCAAAGUCCCUUGUUAAACGAAUGGACAUAAAGCCAGAGGAGGAUGACCUUGGUUACAGGAAGUAAGGUGGCUGCAUGUGAGAAAGCUACAUCUGUCAAUGAAGCAGGUAACGGGUUAGAAGCUACAUCAGCAGCAAAUGUUCGCCUAUGAACUUCCCUCAAGGCAUGCAGUGAGAGUUGCCACAGAAGUUCAACAAAUCUGCAGUGCAUGUGAAGCAAUUAUGAACACUAAGUACAUCAAAUGCUAUCAUGUGUGCUUUUACACGUGAGUGUUUCUUUUUUCAAUAAACGCUGGAAGCGGAGGAUCGAACCUGCGCAUACUCAUGUGAGUAUGCACUUAUAGAACAAAAUGCAAAGUGAAACUACUGAGACACAGGUAGAUAAUAAGAAUAACAAGCAGCCAGUGUUAGACCUGCCAAUUGCAAGGCCAAUUUAUUCCUAUGUCAAAAGAUCAUGAAAUUAGAUGAUUAAAUAACAGCGCUUAUAAAACUCACUCGUUUAUUCGUAAAUUUACUUUUUUAUAUAACGGAGAAAUCCGGAGGGCUAGCUGGCGUACGGUUCAAAACCUGGUAAAUGAUGGAUCCACCCUUCUAUUCUUUUCCACUUACCACGAUUUUAUCUGCAACAAGGUUCAAACUCAUGAUGUGUGUCUAACCCACACAUCACGCAUUGCGCAAUUACCACUGGACCAAAGCCUAGGGUCAGUUUCAAAAUUAACUCAGUCAGGUUGUCUGCUGAAAUCACAGAAAUAACCUCUAAGUUGUACAUUUUCAAAAGGCGUGCUUACUUAGGAGUUAUGUCCCUCCCUGACGCUGCAAUCUAAGUAUUUUCCACUGAUAACCUACUCCUUGACUAUUCCUGCCCAAAAAUAUUAGGCAAUAUGUAAUCUUCUGUGUGAUUAGUCAAAGAAACCUAAUAGUUGAACCAUAGGAUCAAAAGUCCGUACAAACAAAGCCACUUCCCCAACCCUAGUGCAUGUGCUGAUGCGAAACUUCUUGCACAAACACCUUUCACCAAGUCCUAAGCCCUUUGCAGUGGCAAUAAGGUGACCAGCCAAAUAGUCUUGGAUAAAACCAAGCAAGAGAUAACUUGAUUUCACCCACUUUCAAGCAGCGACACCAAAUGAGGGAACAAGACAACUGUAGCCGCAGCAAUCCGUCCCCAAGGAUUUUGUCCUGACUUAGAGGAGUUUAGAUGGUAAGACUUAUCUUGAUAUCAGUGAACAAGACAACUUUAACCGCAGCAAUCCGACUCCAAGGAUUUUGUCCUGACUUAGAGGAGUUUAGAUGUAAGACCUAUCUUGAUAUACAUUCAGCUUCAUAUUUGAAUAUGGUAGCUGUUUCAAUUGGGUGCUAAGUGACUGAAGUGUAGAAUGUGGUGCCAAACUACACCGCUUAAAUGUAACCUGACUUUGAAUGCCGAAAGACAUUGAAGUUGCAAUCUUGAGGGUGAGUAAUUACUCCAAAAUCGAUUAGGUAGUGAAAUCAAAAUUAGUCUCCAAAAGAAUAAUCUUAAGUUUGCUGAUGGCAACGGGUGCUAUAACAGUUAUGUGAGAAAGAUACUUCAAUAUGUAAUCAAAUGGUCCAAAUGAUAGUUCAAAAUAAAAAUAACCAAAAUGCUAUCACAUAGAAACCAGAAAAAAAAAAUAUUAGUGACCUUCAAGUACCAACCUCGGUCCACAACACGUCGCAAGAGAUGAGACCCUCGAAUUGCUUCUAGGAAGUGCCCCCUGGGAUUCCAACUCGGUUAUAAUUCCUUGCACAACCUACAUUUCCGCAAAUAAAAAGAAAAUGAAGUAAAUUAGCCACAAAGAAAAAAGUCAAACUCAAUUCACGAAUCACAUCUCUUUAGAAAUAAAGCAUAUUUCAAUCAACUUAAGUUAACUUGGUCAGACUAUGCUUCCAUUCAGAAUAUACUUAUCCCUUAGCUCUAUUCUGCAUGUCCCAUAAAAUAAUUUACUCCCUCUGUCUCAUUUUAUGUGACACCAAAAAAAAUGAUAUCUUUCUAUAUUUAGAAAUAAUUAAACUUUACACUUCUCAUUUUAUCCAUAUAUGAGAUGAUUUAUAGUGAUACAAAUGAAUAUAGCAAGUUUAGAGCACAAGUUUAAAAGGUCUUUCUUGUUUUCUUAAAUUCCGCUCCGAGCAAGCACAUAAAUUGGGACAUAGGGAGUAAGUAUCUUUUAAGAAAAAGCUAAAACAUAAUUACCUUUCGAAAAUCACGAGAUUGAGCUGAAUCAAAUAUAGGCCAGACCUUAUCGAAAUCCUGAAAGAUCAAAAGGAAACAAAAAUGAGCAUCAAAUAUAAAUCCAUAAGCCUAUAUAAGCUCAAAAGUUCAUUCAGAGUACCUUGGCGGAUUGAGCAGGGCCUCUAAGAGAAGAAAGUAAGAAGUAAAGAAGCUGUUCUCCCAAUUUAGGGUUUGAAUGACGAAAAAGUCCAACACGAGGAGUGCCAUUGUUAGCUCCUAUUCCGAUGAUGGAUGGAUCCAGACCUAGUAACAAACAGUUAGUGUACAUUGCACUCUCUAACUCUAUCUCCCUCUCCUUCUCUCUGUCCAUCGUCAUUCCACACCUUCACUCUUUAUUCCGAUGAUGUAUGGAUCCAGACCUAGUAACAAACAGUUAGUGUACAUUGCACUCUCUAACUCUAUCUCCCUCUCCUUCUCUCUGUCCAUCGUCAUUCCACUCCACCGGUAACUGGUUGGUUUUCCGAUUUGAUUAGUGUUUUGUAAUUAUGAAAACAACAAGUCCUUCUGGAUAAAUUAAGAAUGGUCUGGUUGUUAGAUCAACUAGGACUUGAGAGAGUUUGAUCUGAACAAAUUCGGGGUGCAUUUCUGAAUUUUCAGGUUGUUAUGUCGUAGUGAGGUCGGGAGGGAUAAAAGAAAAGUUUGAAGUUUGAAAUGCGUGGGAGGGGUGUUUUUUAACGUGAACUGCUCAGUCAAUGAGAUGAUUAACGCUUUACCGGCCGGCUUGGUAUUGUCAACUCCUGUUGCUUCGCGGAUUUUGGCUUUGCCUUUUGUUUGCUUGUCUACAUCAUGGAAUUUGUUUAGGCCCCACUUUAGUUACCUUCGAAGACAAAUCCUCACAAUGUAGUUUCUCCAAUGAAAAUGUAAGGUCACAUAUUGUCUCGUCUCUAAUAAGUGACACUUCACUUUCCAAAUAAUAUUUGCGACAUGGUUAUCUAUCCCCUUAUUCGAUGUUGUUUGGUUGUUUAAUGAAAACGAUUUGGGGUUGUUGGUUUAAAAACAUUUACGCGUGAGUCGUAUAAAUUAGUAAUAGUCAUUAGGCGUUUGGACAUAAAUUUUAAAAUUUGUUUCUAAAUUCAGAAUUUCACCGAAAUUUGAAUUAAAGAUAAAGUUGUGUUUAGUUAUUAUUUCUAUAAUAUAUUUGGUUGUUUCUUUUUUAAAUUAUGAAACAUGAUUUAGACCUCAUAAUUUGUAAAUAAUAUCAAAAUCACCUCGACUUAAUUAUCUUAAUUGAAAUAAACAAUCACACAUACUUAAUAUUUAAUUGUUAUCAUUUUUUUUAAAUAAUCAUGUAUAAAAAUACUAGUAAAAGAUGGUCCGUGUUGCGCCCUAGUCCAAAUGUUGGGUUGCAUAUUAUGGACUUUUAACAUGGAUGCCGAUGAUUUUUUCCUCAACCAAUCGAUGAUAUGUUAAUAUUGAAUUUUAUUUUAUUAUAUGAUAAUCUCAAUAUUUGGUUAAGAGCUUUCAAAAAGAUGGAUACUAGUCGACCAACGUUAAUCGGUAAAUUGUUACGUUAUCUAUUUAAUAGUUAUCGUUAAAGUUUUAAUCAUCCAGCUAUAUGUUGUCGGCAAUUUAUCCAGUCUUAAUAAUUGAAAUUCUUUAAAUUGUUGAAUGUGACUAAUAUACUCUAAUGUAAAAAUAAAAGAAAUAUUCUUAUUUUUUUGCUCUACUUAAAGUUGCUAUUUGGUUUUGCAUUUUUGUUCAGGUAAGGUUGUCGGAUUUACCGUAUUUUUACAUUAGGUUUCCUUUUGUUACGCUAAGAAUAUUUUUUAUUCAUUAAACUUUCAUGGAUCCUCCUAUUCUUGAAAUAAAGUAAGUUUAUAUUAUCUUGCCAUAUUCUUUAUAAAUCCUGUAUAUUUUUUAAAAUUAUUCAAUAAAAUCGAUGCUAUUUGUUAUCAUCUUGAUUUAAGGAAAUUUUAGAUUUAAUCGAAAAUUUUAUAGAAGUAAAUACUUUCUCUUAUAUUCAACUGAAGUUAAAAGUUCGUGAUUAAUUUAACCAAAUUAUCCUAUUCAAAAUUAAUCACAAACUUAUAGCAAGUCAAAAUUUUACCAAUUAGCAACACUCUUAUAUUCGUGUUUAAAAUCCAAAAAUUAUUUAAUAAAAUUUUUUAUAGCGAAUCUCUCAUAAAAUUUGAAAAACUAUAUUCUCUUUGAUAUUCCGUAUCAUUAGUGGAGACCAUUCUCACUUUUCGUGUGCACUUUGUCAUUAUAACAUUUUAACAUAGGAGUACAUUUUACAUGAAAGUAGUUUGUGCCGUAUUAACAAACAAUUUAUUUAAUGAAUAUUUAUGUACAUUUGCUAUUGAAAUAUUAUAAUGCAAUGAACCCUUUCUAUAAUAAUUAUUCUUCAUAAUAUUUUAUUAUAAUGGUCAAAUUUUUUUGAAAGCCAACUUUUUAUUUUGUGUUAUAAUAUAUAUUUUAUAUAAUAACAUUUAGACCUCGGUAUUCUUGCUUAUGUUAUUAAGACUCACUGGUCUUCCAGGGCUUGGGCAUACUGUCACAGAUUCCAUUAAAUAUGAUGGGCCUUGAUGAUCUCCGAGAUUUUUUAUUAGGGAUUUUUACAUAUACAUACCAUAUAGCAAAUCUUAUUACCACCUAUAUUUAAGGUUUGUGUUUAUUACAUUUAAGUAUACCGCCUUUCAAUUUAUGUACCAAAAUUCUAUUUAAGGUUUAAUUAUCAACUUAUUAAUUAUAGGCUUGAUUUGUGAACUGAAAAUCUUUUCAGAUUUUAUUGUACACGUUUCUUCUCUCUCUUACAAACAAAACCCACGAUUUUCUCCCGUUUUUUAAUUACCCUCCCCCCACGUUUUUUUACCAAAACCGAUUUCUCUCUCUCUGCUUGAAUUUCGUCCGCUAUUGCCGAAGCUUGAACAGUUUCAGAUCGAGAAGUUCUUCUCAAUCCACCAUACUUUCAGUCCAUAAUUGUAUCAAAGCCAGAAACCCUAUACAAAACCGAUUUCUCUCUCUCUCUGCUUUGAAGUCGGAUAAAAUUUUAUAGAAGUAAAUACUUUCUUUUAUAUUCAACUGAAGUUAAAAGUUCGUGAUUAAUUUAACCAAGUUAUCCUAUUCAAAAUUAAUCACAAACUUAUAGCAAAUCAAAAUUUUACCCAUUAGCAACAAAAUCCAAAAAUUAUUUAAUAAAAAAUUUUAUAGCGAAUCUCUCAUAAAAUUUGAAAAACUAUAUUCUCUUUGAUAUUCCGUAUCAUUAGUGGAGACCAUUCUCCUCUUAUAUUCGUGUUUAAAAUCCAAAAAUUAUUUAAUAAAAAAUUUUAUGGCGAAUCUCUCAUAAAAUUUGAAAAACUAUAUUCUCUUUGAUAUUCCGUAUCAUUAGUGGAGACCAUUCUCACUUUUCGUGUGCACUUUGUCAUUAUAACAUUUUAACAUAGGAGUACAUUUUACAUGAAAGUAGUUUGUGCCGUAUUAACAAACAAUUUAUUUAAUGAAUAUUUAUGUACAUUUGCUAUUGAAAUAUUAUAAUGCAAUGAACCCUUUCUAUAAUAAUUAUUCUUCAUAAUAUUUUAUUAUAAUGGUCAAAUUUUUUUGAAAGCCAACUUUUUAUUUUGUGUUAUAAUAUAUAUUUUAUAUAAUAACAUUUAGACCUCGGUAUUCUUGCUUAUGUUAUUAAGACUCACUGGUCUUCCAGGGCUUGGGCAUACUGUCACAGAUUCCAUUAAAUAUGAUGGGCCUUGAUGAUCUCCGAGAUUUUUCAUUAGGGAUUUUUAUAUAUACAUACCAUAUAGCAAAUCUUAUUACCACCUAUAUUUAAGGUUUGUGUUUAUUACAUUUAAGUAUACCGCCUUUCAAUUUAUGUACCAAAAUUCUAUUUAAGGUUUAAUUAUCAACUUAUUAAUUAUAGGCUUGAUUUGUGAACUGAAAAUCUUUUCAGAUUUUAUUGUACACGUUUCUUCUCUCUCUUACAAACAAAACCCACGAUUUUCUCCCGUUUUUUAAUUACCCUCCCCCCACGUUUUUUUACCAAAACCGAUUUCUCUCUCUCUGCUUGAAUUUCGUCCGCUAUUGCCGAAGCUUGAACAGUUUCAGAUGAUUUCUCUCUCUCUCUGCUUGAAUUUCGUCCGCUAUUGCCGAAGCUUGAACAGUUUCAGAUCGAGAAGUUCUUCUCAAUCCACUAUACUUUCAGUCCAUAAAAUUGUAUCAAAGCCAGAAAUCCUAUACAAAACCGAUUUCUCUCUCUCUCUGCUUUGAAGUCGGAUAACAUGUCAGUUUGUAUGUCCUUUGGCGUGUAAACAGCCUUAGGAUCACAAUAGUUAUAUUCAACUGAAGUUAAAAGUUCGUGAUUAAUUUAACCAAAUUAUCCUAUUCAAAAUUAAUCACAAACUUAUAGCAAGUCAAAAUUUUACCAAUUAGCAACACUCUUAUAUUCGUGUUUAAAAUCCAAAAAUUAUUUAAUAAAAAAUUUUAUAGCGAAUCUCUCAUAAAAUUUGAAAAACUAUAUUCUCUUUGAUAUUCCGUAUCAUUAGUGGAGACCAUUCUCACUUUUCGUGUGCACUUUGUCAUUAUAACAUUUUAACAUAGGAGUACAUUUUACAUGAAAAUAGUUUGUGCCGUAUUAACAAACAAUUUAUUUAAUGAAUAUUUAUGUACAUUUGCUAUUGAAAUAUUAUAAUGCAAUGAACCCUUUCUAUAAUAAUUAUUCUUCAUAAUAAUAUUUUAUUAUAAUGGUCAAAUUUUUUUGAAAGCCAACUUUUUAUUUUGUGUUAUAAUAUAUAUUUUAUAUAAUAACAUUUAGACCUCGGUAUUCUUGCUUAUGUUAUUAAGACUCACUGGUCUUCCAGGGCUUGGGCAUACUGUCACAGAUUCCAUUAAAUAUGAUGGGCCUUGAUGAUCUCCGAGAUUUUUCAUUAGGGAUUUUUAUCACAGAUUCCAUUAAAUAUGAUGGACCUUGAUGAUCUCCGAGAUUUUUCAUUAGGGAUUUUUACAUAUACAUACCAUAUAGCAAAUCUUAUUACCACCUAUAUUUAAGGUUUGUGUUUAUUACAUUUAAGUAUACCGCCUUUCAAUUUAUGUACCAAAAUUCUAUUUAAGGUUUAAUUAUCAACUUAUUAAUUAUAGGCUUGAUUUGUGAACUGAAAAUCUUUUCAGAUUUUAUUGUACACGUUUCUUCUCUCUCUUACAAACAAAACCCACGAUUUUCUCCCGUUUUUUAAUUACCCUCCCCCCACGUUUUUUUACCAAAACCGAUUUCUCUCUCUCUGCUUGAAUUUCGUCCGCUAUUGCCGAAGCUUGAACAGUUUCAGAUCGAGAAGUUCUUCUCAAUCCACUAUACUUUCAGUCCAUAAAAUUGGUCCGCCAUUGUCGAAGCUUGAACAGUUUCAGAUCGAGAAGNNNNNNNNNNNNNNNNNNNNNNNNNNNNNNNNNNNNNNNNNNNNNNNNNNNNNNNNNNNNNNNNNNNNNNNNNNNNNNNNNNNNNNNNNNNNNNNNNNNNNNNNNNNNNNNNNNNNNNNNNNNNNNNNNNNNNNNNNNNNNNNNNNNNNNNNNNNNNNNNNNNNNNNNNNNNNNNNNNNNNNNNNNNNNNNNNNNNNNNNNNNNNNNNNNNNNNNNNNNNGCGCUGUAUGAAUGUUUCGUCCAUUCGGCAGCAUGUGUGUUGUCGGCUAAAACUUCUUAUCUUGAACAAUGAAGAAUCAUGAAUUGACGUUGCCUUAAAAUGCCAUUCGCAGUUCUCAGCUACACGUACAAGCCAGUAGCUACAAAAAAAUCUAAUUUUCAUGACAUAUUUAUUAAAAACUACAAUUAACUAUAAAUUGACUACAAUUAACUACAAACUGACUACAAUUAACAACAAACUGACUACAAGUAACUACAAACUGACUACAAUUAAAUCAAAACUGACUACAAGUAACUAGAAACGGACUACAAUUAACUACAAACAAUUAACUACAAACUGACUACAACUAACUACAAACUGACUACAAUUAAAUACAAACUGACUACAAGUAACUACNNNNNNNNNNNNNNNNNNNNNNNNNNNNNNNNNNNNNNNNNNNNNNNNNNNNNNNNNNNNNNNNNNNNNNNNNNNNNNNNNNNNNNNNNNNNNNNNNNNNNNNNNNNNNNNNNNNNNNNNNNNNNNNNNNNNNNNNNNNNNNNNNNNNNNNNNNNNNNNNNNNNNNNNNNNNNNNNNNNNNNNNNNNNNNNNNNNNNNNNNNNNNNNNNNNNNNNNNNNNNNNNNNNNNNNNNNNNNNNNNNNNNNNNNNNNNNNNNNNNNNNNNNNNNNNNNNNNNNNNNNNNNNNNNNNNNNNNNNNNNNNNNNNNNNNNNNNNNNNNNNNNNNNNNNNNNNNNNNNNNNNNNNNNNNNNNNNNNNNNNNNNNNNNNNNNNNNNNNNNNNNNNNNNNNNNNNNNNNNNNNNNNNNNNNNNNNNNNNNNNNNNNNNNNNNNNNNNNNNNNNNNNNNNNNNNNNNNNNNNNNNNNNNNNNNNNNNNNNNNNNNNNNNNNNNNNNNNNNNNNNAUUUUCGAAACUGAUGGCUACGUAUGAGAGAUUCACGCAGAGAGAUUUGCGCUGGGAUUAGAUCUUUUAAGGUUUUAAAAAGAUCAUUUAAUUAAGACAGUAUCAAAUAUUAAUUGGGAAGCUUAAAAUCUGGUGCUAUUUUAGGCUAUAAAUUCAACCAGAUAUGGUUUGGUACCGUUUUGGUAAAGAAAACAUGGUAUAUGCGGGUAAUAACCAAACAAGGCACAAUAAUGGUAAUAAGGUUUGCUAUAUGGCAUAUUUAGGUAAAAAUCCCUUUUUAUUAUGAUAAACCAAAUGGGUCGGGCUUUUCGGAAUAUUUCUUUCUUAGAAUUGAAAGAAAACAUUGAAAUGGCUGUUCCAAAUUUCAUCUAUACUUUUUUUUUGAGAUUUAAACAAAAAAAUAUAUUAUUUUCUUCUGAAAUGUUUAUUAUUGACUGCUGCCAUCGUAGAGACAAUUGGUUAAACUCCUUCAUGUACUUUCUCAUAGAAAUUUUUGAAAAACCUUGUUUCAAAUUCUUAAACUUAUUUAUGAAUUCCACUUCGACAUCACGUGAUAGAAAUUAAUCCUUAAUCUUCAACACUUCUUCUUCCUCGAAGCGCUUCUCUUCUAGCUCCCUCUUCUGUUGUACAUGUGCUCAAUUGUAGUUGUCAUACUCUAUAGCAAUACUUUAUUAUAAUAACUUUUCUUGGGAAUCAAUUAUGUUAUAAUACAUAUAUGUAUUAUAUAAUAAUACUGUAUUAUAACUAUCAAAAUAUAUUAAAACAAUCGAGGUUGUUAUAAAGAAGUUUUACUAUAAUAUAAAUAUAUAUUUUUGCUCGUGAGAGUACGAGGGUUUUGAAAAUGUUAAAUUCAUCCGGUUCCGAGACAUUGACCUGAGGGGAAUUUUGGGUAUUUUGCCUAAUUUUGUGCUUUAGCUUUGAAUUAAAUAGUAUAAUCAGUUGCUUGAGGUGUUAUUUAUAAUGUGUGAUUGCAUUGAAUAGAUUUGGGACAUUUGGAGUCGAGUACUCGUGGCAAGAACGCGGUUAAUAGUUGAAUUUAGCCGGCUCGAGGUAGGUAUCUUGCCUAACCUUGUGUGGGGGACUUCCCUUUAGGAUUUGAGUCUUCUUUGCUAAUUGUAUUCCUUGUACGCGAGGUGACGAGUGCGUGGUCGGAAUUAUUUGUGGAAAAUUAUCCCUUUUAGGUUCUUAGAUCCUUGAAAUCACUGAAUAUGAGAUUGUUCUUAAUACGAUUGAGUCCCUGUUUUUAGUUUCACCUCUACAUGUCUUACUUGGAACUUAUUUGCCCUUUUUGGUGUAUUCUUGUUGCCAAAUUGAUUUUUUAUUUAUUUAACUGUGGACAUUUACCCUUUUAUAGUCACAUUAUCAUUAUUAACUGCUUGUUUUUAUUUGGAACACAUUGUUUCUAUCUCUCGUUCAAUUAAUAUCAUAAAGAAGUUAAAUAUCUUGUGCUUAGGCAAUAUUUUCCUUAAUUGUGAUUGUUCGUUUCAUGUUAAUUUUCUUGUUAUUGAACUGAGUAUUAUGGAAUCGUUGUUUUGUAUUAUUUCUUCCUUGUUGAAUUGUUCUUAUUGCGCUUAGUAUUUCUCUAUUACGAUUAUUCCUUGUAAGUUGGUUGUACCUUCUUUUGGUGAACGAAAACACUUGAGUUGAUUCCCUUGCUUCUCUCUCUCUCUCUGUCUCUCUCUCUCUCUCUCUCUCUCUCUCUCUAUAUAUAUAUAUAUAUAUAUAUAUAUAUAUAUAUAAUUUAUUCCUUGUUGACUUGUUCUUGUUGUGCUUAGUAUUUCUCCAUUACGGUUAUUCCUUGUGAGUUAGUUGUAUCACCUUUUGGUAAAUCAGAAUAGCUGAGUUGAUUCUCUUGCUUUGUUCGUGUAUAUAUUAUCAUUUAUUGUGUUGUACUUGAGACUGUGAUGCACGAGGUUUCUGUCGUGCGGUUGUUGAUACUAUGAUGCACGAGGUUUCUACCGUGCGGCUAUUGGUACUGUGAUGCACGAGGUCUCUGUCGUGCGAUUGUUGUUGAGGGGUUGAUGAGGUCUUUGUCGUGCUAUUGUUGUUAUUGAUGUUUUCCACAUGUGGCGUAAUAAGGGGUGAUAUGCUAUAUGCUUAUAUGUGGGUUGCGCAUGUGGCGGAAUAAGGUAGGAACAUUGUGAAGCACGUAUGGCAAAAUAAGGCGACGCUUAUUAUAUUAUUAUUGCACACGUAGCGAAAUAAGGUGGGCUAUGUCAGGGGUUGAUUGUAAUGAAUUAUGACGGCCUGUUGAGGUCUCCUAUUUUGUUAUUAUUAUGAUUUUGGGUUGCUUACCUGUAUGAGCUUUACCGCUCGGAUGUUUUGAGGAAACAUCGUACGUGCGGUCCGUUCUCCUAUUCAUGUUUAAUAGUUGGUAGAAUUCUUGUAAGAACACUUGCACAAGCAUACACGUAGUUGAAUACUCCCUUUAGAGGUAAAUUGCUCCUGUUUUUGCUAAGGAGGGAGGUACGCCCUCGUUUAUCCAUUAUAUAUGUGAGAGUGGACAUAGUUAGCUGGUUAGUGGUCUGUAUGACUGAGGGACUAAUGGGGCACAGGAUACCAAGUGUUAGAUUUCAGAUGCUGGGUUUUCGUGAGUUGUGGUCUGUCCCAGACUUGGUAAAAUUGUGGAAAGAGUGAAUAAGACUUUACGUGAACAUCCUUGUAGGAUAUGAGUUAUGGACUUGUUUUUCCCUUGUUGUAUUGUGACCUUAGGAUUUGGAUUUGAUUUGCCGUCGUUAUGCCUCACCAUUUAUUAUUUUCUCGUUGUUACUUGUUGUUAUUUUCCCUUAUUGUGAAUUGUAGCACUAUUGGUCAUUUCAUGCAGUCAUUACAUAUUUAUAUAUCAUUUCCGUUGUUCUUAUGAUUAUACUAUUUAUUCACCGAUAGGUGUCUUGACCGUUCCUCAUCACUACUCCACCGAGGUUAGUCUUGAUACUGUUUAUUCUCCCACUCAAUUCUCUCAGCCUCGGAUGGAGGCAUAUCGGUAGAGACUUCGAGGUAUAUCUGCUAUGUCUGCAGACCGAGGAGUCUCUUUCCAGCUUUUUAUAAUAAGUAUAGCUCUUUCAGUAUGUCUCCUUGUAUAGAUAUUCUUGAGCUAGAGCCUUGUAUGUAUCCCCAACUUGUGAUUGUGAGAUUCCAGGUUUUGGGAAAAUUUUGUUAGCUUCGAGGGUUAUUAUUAUAUGUACCAGGAGGCACCUUAAACACUGAUUAUUUUACUAGUUCAGAUUUUAUUUCUUUCUUCCGCAUUUUGGUUUAUAUUCCGUAAUGUUAGGCUUACCUAGCCGUAGGGACUAGGUGCCGUCAUGACAUGUUCACGGAGGGAGAACUAGGGUCGUGACAAGUUGGUAUCAGAACUCUAGGUUCAUAGGAGUCACAGAUCACGAGCCGGUUUAUUAGAGUCUCGUGGAUCGAUACGGAGAUGCCUGUACUUAUCUGCGAGAGGCUAUAACCGUUUGGAAAAUUCCACUUCAUUUAAUUUCCCCAUCGUGCGAGAUUUUUUACAUCCACAAUCCUAAACCUCUGUCUUCUACUCUCUCACAAAUGGUGAAGAAACGUACUACCCGAGGUGAUCAGGCACCCGUACCCCUUGCUGCAGCCGUUGGAGGUCGGGGAUGGGGUAGAGUUCGAGGACGCGCACGUGGUGCAUCAAGAGCACAUGUGCGAACGGCCGCCGAGGUACCACCAGCAGAUCCAGCCAGAGUCCAGGCACCUCACACGCCUACUGCUACUACUUCUCCAGGACUUCAGGAGACUUUGGCACAAUUCACGAGUAUAUACACCACUUUGGCUCAGGCAGGAUUGCUUCCCUUUUGUUGUAGCCAUAUCCCAGGCCAGGAUAGGAGCACAAACUCUCACCACCCGCACUCCUAUGCAGCGAGCGUAUGUUGAGCAGGUCUCUAAGAUUAUUCCUGUACCGCCUGCAGCACCAAUUCAGCUCGAGGGCAUGGCGGCGGCUUCCGAGCAAGAGCAGAAGAGACUAGAGAGGUUCAAGAAGUAUGAUCCUCCGGUGUUUAGUGGAUUAGCAUCAGACGAUGCCUCGGGGUUUCUUGAUGAGUGUUGCCGCAUUCUCCGUACUAUGGGUAUCUCGGGAUCAAGUGGGGUUUCUUUCAUUACUUUUCAGCUUCGAGGAGGCGCCUAAGAUUGGUGGCGCACCUAUGAGUUAGCCCAGAUGAGGUAGCUUUACCGACUUGGACCCAUUUUUUAGGUAUUUUCCUGAGGGAGUUUGUUCCUCAGAGCCUUAGGGAUGCAUGGCACGCGGAGUUUGAGCAUUUGCGCCAGGGUGUUAUGACCAUCUCGGAGUAUGAUGUCUAUUACACCAGCUUGGAUAGAAAUGCCCCAGUCUUUGUUUCUACUAUUUGCGAGAAGGUUCGCCAGUUCAUUGAGGGGCUUAUUCCUAACAUCAGGUCCAUUAUGGCUCGUAAGUUAGAGAUGGAUAUUCCAUAUCAGUAGGUGGUGAACAUUGCUAGAGGAUAGAGGGUAUGCAUGCCAAAGAGAGAAAGGGCAGGCAAUGUCACGAGAGAGAGAGAGAGCAGACGAGGUUAGGAGAGAGAGUUUGAGGAGGCGAGGAGUCCUCGUAGAUCGGGGAGAUACACUUGUCCUUAUUUUGGAGGCAGGAUGAGUCAUGGUAGUGGUUUUACGGGUCAGCCAGUUCAGCUCACGCUUCAGGCUAUGCAUAGUGAUUCAAGUGUUCAGGGGUCUCGAAGUACCCAUAUCGCACAGUUUCCCAUCGCCUCGUCAGUAGAGAGGGUGCUUUGAGUGUGGAGAUACUAGCCACAUGGUGAGAGAUUGUCCCAGACUUCGGACCGCAGUGUUACAACGAGGUAUUCAUGCAGGUAGAGGGCGCCCAAGAGGGGGAGGCCCGACUUAUUGAUGCGUUUCUUAUAGUAGACUUGAGGCCGAUGUGCUAGCAAAUGUCAUUCAGGAACGAAUUCAGUUAUUUAUAGAGAGGUACUAUCUAUAGUUCAUCACGGUUCUACUUAUCGGGAUGGGUUUCCUUGUUUGUUAUUCUAUUUAUGGGAGCAUUUCAAGGUUUGUGCACUAUUUAUGUGAUUAUCCCGUGGGUAGGUUUUAUGAGUGAUAGUCGUUUCAAUCGGCUGUUUCUAGCUGUUGUCAAGAGUUGUGAGGCUAAUAGUAAAUUCAUGCUGUUUGUUUCGGUAGGUUUGAUGCGAUUUUUGAGCAUUCUUGGUACAAGCUGUGAUUUCUAUGCUCCACCGGUGUGGGAGCCAGUUUGUGUUGUAAAUUAUAGAUGGAAUUGAUCUAGUAAAUGUCUCUAGAUAGGUCUAUGAGUACUCUACUUGUGAUUCAGUGUUGAGAGCGGGACCCUUGUGAUUUCGGGUGAUUUGAUAUGUUGAGGCCGGGUUGUGUGCUGCGGUGAGAGUUAUAUUAGUAUAAGAUCCUUGUGAGUCUUUUAUAUGCUUUCAUUCUUUCUUGUUAGAUGUCUUUGUAGAUUUGAGUUUUAGAAGAAUUGGUGCUAGUUUGCUUUGUUUGUUAGUUCCCUUAUGUGUUUUUCUUUUCCCAUAUUCAUUCAUUUUUGUUCUAUGCUUCUUGAGUUUUAGUUUGUAGGGUAUGUACCUAUUGGUGUUGGAUGAGAUUUGGUUGUUCAAGUGUUUUUCUAUGUGGUUUUUGUGGUUAUUAUAUCAUCGCCAGUGUUGUGGAGGUUUGAAAGAAGUUCCUAUUGAAUAUGAGGCUUAUGGACGGUACGGAUUCGAUCUCAGGCAAGUAUUACUAUCAGAAAUGUUAUUGUGGGGCUAUGUGUGUGUGUCAUGUUGUGUGGAUGUACCCUGUGUGUGUAGGCGUGGAUUGAUGCAGCCGGUUGAGACUGAUACCGGAUAUGGAUUUAGAAUCGAUUUUUUUGGAAAUGGAUGGAAGGCGAAAAUUCUGGUUGGAAGGCUAUUGGUAUUACCAGAAAGGCUAAAUUUCAGUUGAGAUGGUGUCGUCAUGCUUAAGUGGAUUGGGGUGACGUGGGAUCACCCGUAGGUGUAUGUUGGAAGUACGCACUCAGUGACUUGAGGACUUUGAGGUGCAUCUUAGCACGUUCAAGGACAAACAUAGGUUUUAAGAGCGGGAGGACGUAACGACCCGACCGGUCGUUUUUAGAAAUUUAAGCUUCGUUUAGCGCCAUAAGGUUUGGAAAAGCUCCGGAAUAUGAGUAUUUACUUGUGUGCAUGGUAGAAUUCGGCCUUUGGAUGGUUUAGAGCCAAAUUGAAAGAAGAAAUCUAGUUUUGGAAGUUUGAACGGGGAAAAUUUGACCGGAAUUGGACUUUUGGGCAAACGACCCCGAAAUGGGUCAUGGAUGAUCUCAAUAGCUCCAUAUGGUGAUUUUGGACUUAGGCGCGUGUUCAGAUUCAGAUUGGAGGUCCGUAGAGUGAAUUGAAGCAUUUCGGCGAAAGUUGAAGUUGGAAAAUAAAGAAGUUUGACCCAUAGUUGACUUUUGGGAUAUCAGGGUCGGAAUACGAUUCCUAUAGUUGGAGCAGCUCCGUUAUGUUAUUUUGGACUUGUCUGCAAAAUUUGCCAUCACUCUGAGUUGAAUUGAUAGGUUUUCAGCAUGUGAUUCGAUAUUUGAAGACUUGAAAGUUCAUAACUUAGUUUUUGGUUUGAUCCUUCAUUAAUGUUGUUUUAAGUGAUUUGAAACUUCGAGCGAGUCCAUGUUAGGUUAUAUGUCUUGAGUGUGAGAUUAGAGGGGUUCCGAGAGCCUCAAUUGUGGUUCGGAUUGGCUACGGGUCAUUUUUCCCUAUGUUUGAACUGCUGUUCUGCUAUCUGGUAUUUCCUUCUAUGCAAUCGCAUUGUUUGUCCAGCGAUUUCAUAGCACAGUUUGGGCAUCAAUAUUUUCCUUCUAUGCGAUCGCAUUACUUGUCCCGCGAUCGCAUUGCACAAAUGUUGGGUAGCAGUAUUUCCUUCUAUGCAAUCGUAUUGAUUUGCCCGCGAUCGCAUAGCACAAUUUUGGCAGCAAUAGUUUUCCUUCUACGCGAUUGCAUUGUUUAGCCCGCGAUCGCAUAACACAAAUCACUGGGCAGACAGAAUUAAAUCCCAAAUUCGAGGGUUUCACCAUUUUAUCAUAUUUUGACUUCUAGAGCUUGGUUCUUGGCGACUUUUGAAGGGAUUUUCACCUGGGCGACUUGGAUAAGUGUUCCUCACUCGAUUUAGACCAAUUUUCAUGAAUCUCCUCCUAAUUUCGUCCUUUAAUUUUAAAUUUUUAAUGAAAAAUGGGUAGAACAUCAUAGACUGAAUUAUUGAGUUUUGAGGGGGUGUUUGACCUCCGAUUUGAGAGGUUUUUAUAUGGUUAAACUCGUGAGAGAACGAGGGUUUUGAAAAUGUUAAAUUCAUCUGGUUCCGAGACAUUGGCUUGAGGGGAAUUUUGGUCAUUUUGCCUAAUUUCGUACCGCUUUGAAUUAAAUAGUAAAAUCAGUUGCUUGAGAUGUUAUUUAUAAUGUGUGAUUGAAUUGCAUAGAUUUGGGCCAUUUGGAGUCGAGUACUCGUGGCAAGAACACGGUUGCUAGUUGAAUUUAGCCGGCUCGAGGUAAGUAUCUUGCCUAUCCUUGUGUGGGGGACUUCCACGUAGGAUUUGAGUCUUCUUUGCUGAUUGUAUUCCUUUUACGCGAGGUGACGAGUGCGUGCUCGAAUUUAUUUGUGGAAAAAUUGUCCCUUUUAGGCUCUUAUUUCCUUGAAAUCACCGAAUCUUGGCAUGAUGGAAGGCCUAGGAGUAUCGUGGGAGCACGAGGGUGCAUGUGAAAGAGUGGCCAAGACAAUGCCAAGAACACGUCAGGCCAUGGAAGCACAAUCUUGCGCUAUGGAAGGUUCUAGAAGGUUCCGGAGAUUAGAAUUGAGUGAGGGCAGCGGUUCCUCCAUAAUAGCUAUGAAAAGGGAAGUGGAAUUUCACCACGAAAGGUAAGGAAGAACUGUGGUUCAACUCCACAGCGUGGUUAGAGCAGCACCACAAGCCAAUCAACCAACAAAGAGAUACGCUUCACAGAAGGAAGAGAUAGAAUCCAGCUUUUGUUUGUUAUCAGGAGUGCAAGUUCCCAACAUCGCUCCGGUUGGAAUUAGAGAAACUAAGUUCGUUUCGGUAUGAGAAAAUAACCAAUCCUGAAUAAGGGAUAAGUCAGGCGUGUACAGACUAUGGCAUCGUUAAGCCCUUUUAAUUAAGUGUGAAAUGUGUUGUUUCAAAGUAGCUAAGGGAAGUUUGGUCGGAGACCUGAUCUUUGGUCAUAUAGCCGUGUGAGAAGUCUGGUACUCUAUUAAGAAGAAAAUUCCCUGAUCGUCUGUCAUAUGCGCUGGGUGAAAAAUGCGGGUAAAUCUAGUUCAAUCGGUAAAUCCAUAUCAGGAGUAAGCUGCUCCGUUGUAGCCACUUCUGUACCUGUACCGGCUUGAGCAGCCGAAAUANNNNNNNNNNNNNNNNNNNNNNNNNNNNNNNNNNNNNNNNNNNNNNNNNNNNNNNNNNNNNNNNNNNNNNNNNNNNNNNNNNNNNNNNNNNNNNNNNNNNNNNNNNNNNNNNNNNNNNNNNNNNNNNUUGAUUAACACUCGAAGAUGCACAUUUGGGGAUUCGACAGAACACUGUCUUCGGCCAGGAGAUUGAUAGAGACCAAUAUGAGGUUGUUCUUAAUACGAUUGAGUCCUUGUUAUUAGUUUCACCUCUACAUGUCUUACUUGAAAUUUAUUUUCCCUUCUUGGUGUAUUCUUGUUGCCAAAUUGAUUUUACUUGUUUAACUGUGGACAUUUACCCUUCUAUAAUCACAUUAUCAUUCCUAACUGCUUGUCUUUGUUUGGAAAACAUUGUUUCUAUCUCUUGUGCAAUUAAUUGAUCUUAAUUAGAAAGAAGUUAGAUAUCCUGUGUUUAGGCAAUAUUUUCCUUAAUUGUGAUUAUUCAUUUCAUGUUAAUUUUCUUGUUGUUGAACUGAGUAUUAUGAAAUCGUUAUUUCGUAUUAUUUCUUCCUUGUUGAGUGUUCUCAUUACGCUUAGUAUUUCUCUGUUACGGUUAUUUCUUGUAAGUUUGUUGUACCGUCUUUUGGUGAACGGAAACACCUGAGUUGAUUCCCUUGCUUUGUUCCUGUAUAUAUUGUCAUUUAUUAUGUUGUACUUGAGACUAUGAUGCACGAGGUUUCUGCCGUGAGGUUGUUGAUACUGUGAUGCACGAGGUUUCUGCCGUGCGGUUGUUGAUACUGUGAUGCAUGGGGUUUCUGCCGUGCAGCUAUUGGUACUGUGAUGCACGAGGUGUCUACUGUUCGGUUGUUGUUAAGGGGUUGCACGAGGUCUUUGCGGUGCUAUUGUUGUUAUUGAUGUUUUGCACAUGCGGCAUAAUAAGGCGGGAUAUGUUAUAUGCUUAUAUGUGGGUUGCGCAUGUGGUGGAAUAAGGUGGGAACAUUGUGAUGCACGUGUAGCGAAAUAAGGCAGUGGUUAUUAUAUUAUUAUUGCACACGUGGUGAAAUAAGGUGGGCUAUGUUAGGGGUUGAUUGUAUUGAAUUGUGACGACCUGUGGAGGUAUUCCUAUUUUGUUAUUAUUGUGAUGUGGGUUGCUUACCUGUAUGAGCUUUAUUGCUCGGAAGUUGUGAGGAAAUAUCGUACGUGCGGUCCGUUUUCCUAUUUAUGUUUACUAGUUGGUAGAAUUCUUGUUAGAACACUUGCACAAGCAUACACAUAGUUGAAUACUCCAUUUAGAGGUAAAUUGCUCCUGUUUUUUCUAAGGAGGGAGGUACGCCCUCGUUUAUCCAUUAUAUAUGUGAGUAUGGAUAUAGUUAGCCAGUUAGUGGUUAGCAUGAUUGAGGGACUGAUGGGGCACGGGAUACCAAGUGUUAGAUUUCAGAUGCUGGGUUUUCGUGAGUUGUGGUCUGUCCGAGACUUGGUAAAAUUGUGGAAAGAGAGAAUAAGACCUUAUGUGAACAUCCUUUUAGGAUAUGAGUUAUGGACUUGUUUUUCCCUUGCAGUGUUGUGACCUUAGGAUUUGGAUUGUGAUUUGCCGUCGUUAUGCCUCACCAUUUAUUAUUUUCUCGUUGUUACUUGUUGUUCUUUGCCCUUAUUGUGAAUUGUAGCAUUAUUGGUCAUUUCAUGCAGUCAUUACAUAUUUAUAUAUCAUUCCCGUUGUUCCUAUGAUUAUACUAUUUAUUCACCGAUAGGUGUCUUGACCGUUCCUCAUCACUACUCCACCGAGGUUAGUCUUGAUACUGUUUAUUCUCCCACUCGUUCACCGAUAGGUGUCUUGACUGUUCCUCGUAACUACUCCACCGAGGUUAGUCUUGAUACUUACUAGGCACCGCCAUGGUGUGCUCAUGCUACUCUUCUGUGCAUUUUUGUUUUGUAGAUACAGGUUCUCCCACUCAGUUCUGUCAGCCUCGGAAGGAGGCAUAUCGAUAGAGACUUCGAGGUAUAUCUGCUACGUCCGCAGACCGAGGAGUCUCUUUCCAGCUUUCUAUAAUAAGUAUAGCUCUUUCAGUAUGUCUCCUAGUAUAGAUAUUCUUGAGUUAGAGCCUCGUAUGUAUCCCCAGCUUGUGAUUUGUGAGAUUCUGGGUUUUGAAAAAUUUUUGUUAGCUUCGAGGAUUAUUAUUAUGGAGGACGAAUUAAGGUCGUGGCACAUGUUGACUUGCUGCCUGCUUAUUCCCUCUUCUAUAUAGUGUAUGCUAGUUCUACAAAGCCCGAGUCCUAGCCCAAAAUCAAGGCAAUAACGUUCAUAGUAAUAAUAAUAAUAAUAAUAAUAAUAAUAAUAAUAAUAAUAAUAAUAACAAUGAUAUUUUUUGUAAUAUUUUUAGGCAUUUACUUUUUUAAGAUCAUCGCUUAAACAUUUAUUAUUCAUUAUUUUGUUUUCUGAUCCUAUCAUUAAGAUCAUCGAUAUAGUACAUUCCCAAUAUCAAAUGAAUUCUUCAAGGUUAUUGUUUUCAACAUUUUAGAUUUGUUAUUGUGCAUAAUUAUUCAUCAUCAUUCACAACUUUACAAGCAUUAUUGAAGGACUCAAAGUUUAAUAUAUUUACCAAAUUAAAUAUAGGAACUUAAGCAAAAAAAAAAAGGAAAUAAAGUAGGGGCAAAAAACUUAUGGUACAUACUUCACUAGCAAAAAGCUAGGGUAAGGAGCUAUAUAUUACCAAAAAAGAUUUGAAAGUCUUAAUUUAAUGGAAACAUACUUUAGUAUAUGAAGUAAUAAAUAGCAAAUACAAGGGCAUAUUUGAAAGAGCAAAACCCUUUUGAUUCGCAAACUAACAAGAUAGUUACAAUAUAACUAAGGAAUACAGAACUUUUUACGUUGUCCUUUAUAUAUAGUAGUAAUAAUAAUACUUUACUAUAGCUGCCAAAAUUGUCAUGCCCCGAACCUGGGCAUCGGUGCCUGACUACAUGUGACCGAGCGAACCAACUGGCUGGCUGAAUCAACAUGUGGUAUCAUAACAUACUGAAUGCGGAAGAUAAACUAACACAUGCUGAUAUACUGAAAGUCUGGAUGAUAUAAAUCAAAGUACGAAAAUACUAAUACAAGUUUGAAUCAUCUUUGUAGCCAACAUAGCUUAAUAUGAAAAGCAUGUGACUUUGUCUAACUGUUACUCUAGUCUAUGAAGCCUUUGAAAACACUGACUGUCUGAAAAUACUGAAGACUGUAAGGUAAAGAUAAUGUCCCGAAAGAAUUAGGAAUCACCAAAUAGCUAGCGCUCUGAAUCAUCAACCUGUAAACUAUUACUUGCAUCGUGAAAUGCAGGCCUCCUGCAAAAGGGACGUCAGUACAUUUGAAUUGCACUGGUAUGUAAAGCAACUGAAAGAAAGAACUAUAAUUGCUAAAACUAAUGCUGAGCUGAUAACUGAGAUUUGAUAACUGAUAACUGAAAUGAUAACUGUUGAAACUGAAAUUGAAAUGAUAACUGAAAAUUGAUAACAAAAAUGAUAAUUGAUAGCUGAACUGAACACAUGAAGUAAGGUAAUGAAUACUCCAUCUUCUAAAUGAUGAACAACCUAUUUAUCUGAAUAAGCUACGGUCUCGACCCAAUAUAUAUGUGCACAAGCUAUAGACUCACGCCCAAGUAUACGUAUACAUAACUACGGCCUCAGGCCCAAAAAUGCAUAAAGCAUAAACUAUGGCCUCAGGCCCAAAUAUAGGUGUUCAACAUUUAGGAAUUAAUAAUCAGAAACUGAGAAUCAUACUGUAAUACAUUAUAGUGAAAUACUGAAUCACAUUGAGUUACAUGAUACAUGAAAACUGGGUCAUACUGGGUUACAUAAUACUGACCUACUAAAUGGGACUAGACUGAGACAUGUAUUCUUGAACUGAUUAUGGAUACUGAAAUUUUAACUGUUUAUGACAUACUGAGUAAGCUAUACUAAGACCCAGGGGCAUCAAACCCAAGUCUAUAUUGAAUACGCACUGAUCUCACAACGUUCAGAAUGAAAGUCAUGAGCGAGUAAUAAAGCUAGAGAGUAGAAGUUCUACAGCUAUUCAAGGAACUAGGCUUAAUUAUAUUUCUGAGGCAAUUGAGUUAUGAAGCUAUAGAAUAGAAGUUCUACAACUAUUCAAGGAACUAGGCUUAACUAUAUAUCUGAGAUAAUUGGUAACGCCAUAAAAGAAACGUAGUGUAGGGAGAAUCCUUAAAUUCCCAAACAUAGAGAGUUAGCCUCACAUACUUUAACUUCCUACUCUUGAGCAUAAUACAACAUUGCCAACCUUUUCAACUUUAAUCUAUAUCAAUACAAGUCAAAUGGAUCCCAAAUAAGCAAAAAUAGUCAUGUUUUGGUCACUUAUGCAUUUUAUCAAACACUCGGUGGCAUAAAGCUUCAUAGCCCUUACUAAUGGUGUUUCUACACCCAAUAAUCCAUUCUCUUGCUCAUAAAUAAAUUCUAAAGUCUCAAAUAGUUCAAUCAACAUUAUUCUUUGUCACCCAUAAGGUAAUCAACAACCAUAACCAAUAAUAACCAAUCAACAAUCCAAACCUAUCACCGUUCAUACUUUUCUACCAAAUUCAUAUACUUAUAUCUCAUGAAACAAAGUCUAUAAUCAUUAAUUCAAUGAUAGAAUCAAUUAGAGGGUGAAGAUAUUACCUUUUCUACGUUCAAUCUUCUUGAAUUCGAGUUCUAGGGUUUCUUCUCUCAACAAUGGUGACCCAAUCGAAUAUCUAAUGAUAUGGAGGGUUUACCCAUGUUAAUAAGACGUUAGAAAAUUGAAGUUAGCUUAGAAUUACCAUUAAAACCUACUUAGAGUGGUGAAAAGACCAUUAAGGAGUUAGGUUUUUGAGAGUUUCCCUUUCUAGAUCAAGUUUUUAUGUUUUGGGGCUGUGGGAAAAAAAAUAUAGCUUUAAAACGACCCCCCACGAGCGAGCCCACGCUACCAACCACGCUAAAUGGCAGUAACACUGCCUCAAAUUAGCACGGCGCGCUAAUGGGCGCGCUACCGACGCACAUAUCGCAUACUGUUCUGUAAGAUGUACAUAACUUUUUGCACAGAAAUCCGUUCGGGAUCUAUAAUAUAUUUUUGGAAAGUAUUUCGAAGACCUACAACUUUCAUGCUUUGCGUUUUCUAAAAUUUCUUACAUAUUUUUACUAAAAACUACUGGAAGACGGACCUUCUGCAAACUAAGUCGAUUUGUCAAAUCUUAUGCACCUUACUUUUCAUCUUGAUUUUAAAAUAACUAUUUUCACUCAUAAUCAUCCCGAUAGAACUUCAUAUGUCCAAAAUAUAAUCUUACUACUCUUUAACUCAUUCAUUCCUAAUUCGAAUGUGCGGGAUGUUACAAAAAUAUAUCAAAAUAAUCGAGGUUGUUAUAAAGAAGUUCUACUGUAGUAUAAACAUAAUUUUUUACUCAAAUAAAAAUGAAAAUAGAAGUUUGUGUACAAUUUCGAACUACAUCUAAGUGAAUUGUGCAUUUGGAUUUGAUUCAAUUUAAUCAAUCUAUUAGAUAUUAGUAACAUAAAUUAUUUAUUUGUUUUACUUAAAAAAAACUAUAACAGAAAUAAGAAUACGUAACGAUAUAUAAUAUUUAUAAAAUUUUAUUAGUUAGUAUAUUCUCUAUAAAAUAAAUAUAAGAGUAUUUUAAAGGUUCCAUACAUGAAACCUGUCAUACUAACCACGUGUCCCACUAGCUCCACUGUUCCAUACAUGAAACCUGUCAUACUAACCACGUGUCCCACUAGCUCCACUGUCGAUGUUUAAGAGUAAAAAGCUGCACAAGAGACGUUGUACUUAAUGGGCCCACUAAAAAAAAAGUACAUCACUUGGGGCAAUUUACUCAAAGGCAAUUAAAAACUUAUACAACAGUUGUGCUACAAUAUUUUUUUAGCCAAUUAUGUUACCUCAUUCACUAUGAAAUGAUUAGAUUAUUCUUUAAAUCUUAAGUAGGCAUGUUGACUUGCUGCCCGCCUAUUCUCUCUUCUAUAUAGUAUAUGCUAGUUCUACAAAGUUCGUGUUGAGCCCGAACCCAAAGUUUAUCAUAAUAACAAUAAUAAUAAUAAUAAUAAUAAUUUGUGUUAUAUUUUUAGGUAUUUACUUUUUAAGAUAAUUUCUUAACCAUUUUAUUAUUCAUUAUUUUUAUUUUUAAUUAUAUCAUUAGAUAAUUAAUUAAAAUAAAUAUUUAUAAGAAAGCAAGUGUGUUAAGGAUAAGCAGAUAUCAAAGGGACAAAGAUAACUUGAUAUUUAAUAUAAUAAUUUAAAAUAUGAAAUGACUCCAAAUUAACUAUAAUCAUAAAUUAAAUUUUUUUUAAUAUUCGAUGAAUUUGCAGGAAUAUAAUUUCUAAUUAGUAGUAGAAAUAAAGAAGAUAUUUUAAUAGAUUAUUUCGGUAUUUAUUGAUUAACUACUCAUAAUUUCAUAUGACCAUAAUUUAUGUUUGAAUAAAUAUGGUGAUUAAAGUCUAGAUUUAGAUUAAAAUCAGAAAUACUCAACAACAACCCAGUAUAAUCCCACAUAGUGGGGUCUGGGGAGGGUAUUAUGUACGCAGACCUUACCUCUAACCCAGGGGUAGAGAGGCUGUUUCAGAUUAGACCCCCGUCAUCCUUCCCUCCAAGAACUUCCCACCUUGCUCUUAGGGAGACUCGAACUCACAACCUCUCGAUUGGAAGUGGGGGUUGCUUAGCAUCAGAGCUUAUGACCCAAAUUCAUUAAAACAAAUUCCAAUAAUUAUCUUAGUUUUGUCAUUAACUCAUUAAUCCUUUAUUUUUAAGAGAAAAUUAAUGAUUAUAUAAUUUUUGACAAAUUAAAUUAUUUUAAGAAACAAAAAAUAUCUUUGUUUCAAUAGCUUAUGACCAUCAACCAUAUUUAAUAAAUAUGAGAUUACAAGUUGAUCACUUGCUAAGCACCUCUCCCUUUUCCUCUAUUUUAUCCCCACUUAAUUAAGUAAAUUGAAUAAAUCCUAAUACUUUUUUAUUUUAUUUUCAAGAUUCUAAUCUAUCAAAUUUUAAAAAGUUUUGAAAUUUAUUUUCAAUUGCACUAAAUUUAUUUUUUCAAAAUAAUUUUUCUAUUAAGAAUAAGACCGAAGAGAUAUUUAAUUAUAAUUUUAGAAUUACGAAGAAAAUUUGAUCGAUAGAGUUAUGAUGAGACAAAAGGCUAUCACUUCAUUUUAAAUUAAAUUCCGUAUUUCCGAGGUCAUGAAAAUCACAUCUAGAGUCAUCUCGAUUUGCAUGCACAGUCGGACGCAUAACCGGAAAGCUUAACUAUGAAAAUUUAUAAAAAAUAAUAAAAUUUGACUAUAAAAUGAGUUAAUUUGACUUCGGUCAACAUUUUAGGUAAACGGACUUGGACCCGUAAUUUGAUGGUCCCGCAGGGUCCAUAGGAAAAUAUGGGACAUGGGCGUGUUCCUGGAAUCAAAUUCCGAUAUACCAAGCCUGAGAAAUGAUUUUUUUUUAAAAAAAAUUAUCUUCUGAAAUUGUUUAAAGGAAUUUGAAAUGAAAUUUGAUUAGAACAUGAUGGUAUUGGGCCCAUAUUCUGGUUUCGGUGCCCGGUACAGGUGUUAUAUAUGAUUUAAGAUGAUCCUGUGAAAUUUGGUGAAAAACGGAUGUCAUUUGACGUUAUUUAGACCUAAAUGGAAAAAGUUGAGGUUUAAGAAGUUUAGAAAUAUUUCAUUAAUUUUGAGGUUUCAUUCAUUGUCAAAGGUGUUAUUUUGGAGAUUUGAUCGCACGGUUAAGUUCAUAUUAUAUUAUUGAGUUAGUACGUGCAUUUGGUUAGGAGCCCCGAGGGCUCGGUGUGUAUCGGAUAUGUUUCGAGAGGUUUUUGGACUUAAGAAAUGUUGCAGAUUUUGCUAUGCAGUGCACAUGGAAUUUGUUCUUCGUGUUCGCGUGGUCCCACUCGUAUAAGGAAAAAAUCCUAAGUGCUACUUUCUUCUUCGCGAACACGAAGCCUGAGACGCGAACGUGAGGCUGGGAGGGGGAGCACCCUUCGCGAACGUAUCCAGGUACUCGCGAACGCGUAAGGUAAUGGGCACGGGGAGGGAGUUCUAAGUUAUUCUUUGUGAUCGUGGCCACUGGUCCGAGAACACGAGGGCUCGAGGGGUUAAAGCUCCGCGAAUGCGAAGGUCUUUAGGCUUGACUCAUCAUGAACGUGAUGAGCCUGUUGCAAACGUGAUGGGUAAAUUCGCCCAGUUAUUUUAAGUUUAAAAAACAUCACUUACAGGAUUUUCAUAAAAAUUCAUAAACCUCUUCUUCUCCAAAGCUCUUAGGCGAUUUUUGAAGCAUUUCCUCACCAUAAUUUCUUGGGUAAGUAAUCUUUAACUUGUUUGCUUCUAUUUUUAUCAACACCUACUAGAUUUCUAGGCCUGAAACAUGAAAUUAAGGGUAGAAAAUUAGGGAUUUGGGUAGAGUUAGGGCUUUUGAUUUAAUUAUGAUUUAGAUCUCGUUUUGGGACAAAUUCUGGAACUAAUUAUAUAUUCAUGCUCGCGGGUGAAUGGGGGAUCAGAUUUUGGUCCAAACCUCGGGUUUUGACUAAGUGGAUCCGGGUUCAAUUUUUUGAAUUUUUGGGAAGAAUGAUUAGAAAGCUAUAAUUAGGCAUUGGAAUCGAAUUGUUUAGUGUUUAUUGAUGUUAUGAAGUCAAUUAUGUAUAGAUACGAUUGAUUUGGAGCCGAAUUCAAAAUGAAAAGCGGUGUUUGAGUCUUGAGUUGACCGUGAAAGGUCGGGGUAAGUGUUUGGUCUAACCUUAGCUUGAGGGAUUAGGAGUUGAGUCCUAUUUGUUAUCUGUUUCUUGUUGAGUACGACAUAUAGGCAUGAUGACGAGUGUCUAUAUAUUGGUGUGGAGCAUGAUCGCGAGUCUUAAAUUGAUACUUGUCGUAUUCUUAAAUGAUACUAUGGAUGCUUUAGUGGGUAAAUUCUUGACAUUAAGCAAAAACUUAGUUUUUUUGUGUGGAAUCUACUUAUGAUUGAGUAGUAGUGAUAACUAAGAUGAGUAGGAGUUGAGUUAAGAUUGGUUAUAGCCGAUUCUCCCUAAUCGGGAUGUAUAUACUUGUACUACUAAAUUUCCUUGCCGGGAUAGUGUUGUUAUUGUUGAUUCCUUUGCAGGGAUGAUUUUUAUGGUUAUUGUUGACUAUAUACUUGAAACUAGUUGCGCAUCCCAACAUUUUUAUUAUACAUGGAUCAGAUUGUAAGCCGCAACAUUAUUAUAUAUGGAUCGGGUUGCAUGCUGCAACAAUAUUAUGUUGGAUCAGAUUGCACACCGCAACAAAUGUUGUAUUGGAUCGGGUUGCACGCCACAACAGCUAUAUAGAUGGAUUGGGUUUCACGUCGCAAUAUUAUUAUAUAUGGAUCAGGUUGCAUGCCGCAACAAUGUGAUGUUGGACCAGGUUGCACGCCGAAAUAAAUAUUAUAUUGGAUCGGUUGCAUGCCGCAACCGUUAUAUAGAUGGAUCAGGUUACACGUCGUAACAAUGUUAAAUGACAAGGGAUCGGGUUGCAUGCUGCAACAGUAGUAUUACUUUUUUGUGGUAGAUAUUGUACCGUCCUUUCUGAUUUCUAUUUAGUUUCUGCUAGAUUUGAUAUGCUCCCUGAAGCAUGUACCCCCUCCUGUUUAAACUACUUAUUCCUAUUUAUUUCCUGCCAUAUAUUAUAUAACUGCACAAGUUUAUCUAGAUUCUGGUUCUAGCCUCGUCACUACUUUGCCAGGGUUAGGCCAUAGUUACCAGCACAUGGGAUCGGUCAUGUUGAUGCUGCACUCUGUACUCUGUACAGAUACCGGAGAAGCAUUGGGAUAGUACCUUGGGAGCCAGCCUUCAGUUUACCGAGAUUCCGAGGUAGUCCUGCAGGCGUCCGUAGGUCGGACGACUCUUAUAUCUACUAUUAUGUUCUGUUUUCACUUGUAUCCAAGACAGACUGAGUUUCUUUUCUUCAGACAUUUGUAUGUAGUAAUCAUAGACAGUCCGUAAAUGUUAUGAUACCGGUUUUUUGGGUAGAGACAUAUGUUGGCUAUUCGUAUCGAUUUUGGUAUUAUAUUUGUCUAAGUCUUCCGAUAUUAUUUUACUGUUUACCACCUGUUGCUACAAGUAUUUAAAAGUAUUAAAAAUGAAAGUUUAAAGAUUUCAAAAUUUGUGGCUUGCCUAGCUUCUACGAGUAGGCACCACCAUGACUCCCGAGAGUGAGAAAUUUGGGUCAUGACAAGUUAAUAUCAGAGCUCUAGGUUACAUCGGUGUCACAAAUCACAGACAAGCUAGUAGAGUCUGAGGAAGAGUAUGAGACUUGGGCGUAUGCCUGGAAUCGAAUUCCGAUAUCCCAAGCCCAAGAAAUGAAUUUUUAAAAAAAAUUAUUUAUCGGAAUUGUUUAAAGGAAUUUGAAAGGAAAUUUGAUUAGAACAUGAUGGUGUCGGUCCCUUAUUCUAGUUUCAGUGCCCGGUUCAGGUCUUACAUAUGAUUUAAGACGAUUCUGUGAAAUUUGGUGAAAGACGAAUGUCAUUUGACGUGAUUUAGACCUAAAUGGCAAAAGUUGAGGUUUAAGAAGUUUUGAAAUAUUUCAUUAAUUUUGAGGUUUCAUUCAUUUUUAAAGGUGUUAUUUUGGAGAUUCGAUCGCACGCUCUAGGUUUCAUAUGAUAUUAUUGAGUUAGUGCGUGCAUUUGGUUAGGAGCCCCGAGGGAUCGGGUGUGUUUCGGAUGUGUUUCUGGAGGUUUUUGGGCUUAAGAAAUGUUGGAGAUUUUGCUAUUCAGUGCAUAGGGAAUUUGCUCUUCACGUUCGCGUUGUCCCACUCGUAUAAGGAAAAAAUCCCAAGUGCCAAUUUUCUUCUUCGGGAACACAAAGCCUGAGACGCGAACGCGAGGAUGAGAGGGGGGAGUACCCUUCGCGAACGCAUCCAGGUACUCGCGAACGCUUAAGGUAAUGGGCCCGGGGAGGGAAUUCUCAGUUAUUGUACGUGAUCGUGGCCAUUGGUCCACGAACGUGAGGGCUCGAGAGGUUAAAGCUCCGCGAAUGCGAAGGUCUUCUGGCUUGACUCAUUAUGAGCGCGAUGAGCCUGUUGCAAUCGUGAUGGAUAAAUUAGCCAAGUUUUUUUUAAGUCUCAAAAACAUAUCAAAUACGGGAUUUUCAUAAAAUUUCGUAAACCUCUUAUUCUCCAAAGCUGUUAGGAGAUUUUUGAAGCAUUUCCUCACCAUAAUAUGUUGGGUUAGUAAUCUUUAACUUAUUUGCUUCCAAUUUUAUCAACUCCUACUAGAUUUCUAGUCCUGAAUCAUGAGAUUAAGGUAGAAAAUUAGGGAUUUGGGUAGAGUUAGGGCUUUUGCUUUGAUUGUGAUUUAGAUCUCGUUUUGGGGACAAAUUAUGGAACUAAUUAUAUAUUCUGGCUCGUGGGUGAAUGGAGGAUCAGAUUUUGGUCCGAACCUCGCGUUUUGACUAAGUGGGUCGGGGGUUAAUUUUUGGAUUUUUGGGAAGAAUGAUUAGAACGCUAUAAUUAGGCAUUGGAAUCGAAUUGUUUAACGUUUAUUGAUGUUAUGAAGUCAAUUAUGUAUAGAUACGAUUGAUUUGGAGCCUAAUACGAAAGGAAAAGCGGUGUUUGAGGCUUGAGUUUACCGUGAAAGUUCGGGGUAAGUGUUUGGUCUAACCUUAGCUUGAGGUAUUAGGAGUUGAGUCCUAUUUUCUAUCUGUUUCUUGUUGAGUAUGACAUAUAUGCAUGUUGACGAGUGUCUAUAUUGGUGUGGAGCAUGAUCGUGAGUCCUAAAUUGACACUUGUCGUAUUCUUAAAUGAUACUAUGGAUGCUUUAGUGGGUAAAUUCUUGACAAUAAGCAAAAACUUAGUUUUUUUUCAUGGAAUCUACUUAUGAUUGAGUAAUAGUGAUAACUAAGAUGAGUAGCAGUUGAGUUAAGAUUGGUUAUAGCUGAUUCUCCCUUGGCGGGAUGUAUAUACUUGUACUGCUAAUUUCCCUUGCCGAGAUAGUGUAGUUAUUAUUGAUUCCCUUACCGGGAUGAUUAUUAUAAUUAUUGUUGACUAUAUAUUUGAAACUAGUUGUGCAUCGCAACAUUUUUAUUAUAUAUGGAUCAGAUUGUACGCUGCAACACUAUUAUAUAUGGAUCGGGUUGCAUGUUGUAACAAUAUUAUGUUGGAUCGGGUUGCACACCACAACAAAUAUUGUAUUGGAUCGGGUUGCACGCUACGACAGUUAUAUUGAUGGAUCGGGUUGCACGUUGCAACAUUAUUAUAUAUGGAUCAGGUUGCACGCCACAACAAUGUUAUGUUGGACCAGGUUGCACGCUGCAAUAAAUAUUAUAUUGGAUCGGGUUGCCUGCCGCAACAGCUAUGUAGAUGGAUCAGGUUACACGCCGCAACAAUGUUAAAUGAUAAGGGAUCGUUGCGCUCGUAUUACUUUUUUGUGGUAGAUAUUGUACCAUCCUUUCUGAUUUCUAUUUAGUUUCUGCUAGAUUUGAUAUGCUCCUUGAAGCAUGUACCCCCUCCUAUUUAAACUACUUAUUCCUGUUUAUUUUCCGCGAUAUAUUAUAUAACUGCACUGGUUUAUCUAGAUUCUGGUCCUAGCCUCGUCACUAAGCUAGACACUUUUUUCAGCACAUGGGAUCAUUUUUUUUAUGCUUCACUAUGUACAGAUACCGGAGCAGCAUUGGGACAGUAGCUUGGGAGCCAGCCUUCAUUUUACCGAGAUUCCGAGGUAGACCUGCAGGCGUCUGUAGGCCGGGAGACUCUUCUAUCUACUAUUAUGUUCUGUUUUCACUUGUAUCCGAGACACACUGAGUUUCUUUCUUUCAGACAUUUGUAUGUAGUAAUCAUAGACAGUCCUUGAAUGUUGAUUCCCUUGCCGGGAUGAUUAUUAUGAUUAUUGUUGACUAUAUAUUUGAAACUAGUUGCGCAUCACAACACUUUUUUUAUAUAUGGAUCGGAUUGUAUGCCAUAAUAUUAUUAUAUAUGGAUCGGGUUGCAUGCUGCAACAAUUUUAUGUUUGAUCGGGUUGCACACCGCAACAAAUAUUAUAUUGGAUCGAGUUGCACGCCACAACAGUUAUAUAGAUGGAUCGGGUUGCACGUCACAACAUUAUUAUAUAUGGAUCAUGUUGUAUGCCGCAAAAAUGUUAUGUUGGACUAGGUUGCACACCACAAUAAGUAUUAUAUUGGAUCGGGUUGCAUGCCACGACAGUUAUAUAGAUGGAUCAGGUUACAUGCCGCAACAAUGUUAAAUUAUAAGGGAUCGGGUUGCGUGCCACAACAAUAGUAUUACUUUUUUUGUUGUAGAUAUUGUACCAUCCUUUCAGAUUUCUAUUUGGUUUCUGCAAGAUUUGAUAUGUUCCCUGAAUCAUGUACACCUCCCGUUUAAACUGCAUAUUCCUAUUUAUUUUCCGCCAUAUAUUAUAUAACUGCACAGGUUUAUCUAGAGUUUGGUCCUAGCCUCGUCACUACUUCGCCGAGAUUAGGCCAGACACUUAUCAGCAGAUGGGAUCGGUUGUGUUGAUGUUGCACUCUGUACAGAUACCAGAGCAGCAUUGGGACAGUAGCUUGGGAGCCAGCCUUCAGUUUACCGAGAUUCUGAGGUAGUCCUGCAGGCGUUCGUAGGCCGGGCGACUCUUCUAUCUACUAUUAUGUUUUGCUUUCACUUGUAUCCGAGACAGACUGAGUUUCUUUCUUUCAGAAAUUUAUAUGUAGUAAUCAUAGACAGUCCGUGAAUGUUGUGACACUGCUUUUCUGGGUAGAGACAUAUAUUGGCUAUUCGUAUCGAUUUUGGUAUUAUAUUGGUCUAAGUCUUCCGCUUAAUUUUCGUCUUCCGCUAUUAUUUUACUGUUUACACCUGCUGCUACAAGUAGUUAAAAGUAUUAUAAAUGAAAAGGUUAAAGAUUUAAAAAUUUUGUGGCUUGCCUAGCUUCUACGAGUAGACACCAUCACGACUCCCGAGAGUGAGAAAUUCGGGUCGUGACAAGUUGGUAUCAAAGCUCUAGGUUACAUAAGUCACAUAAUUCAUAGACAAGCUUAAUAGAGUCUGACAAAGAUAUGGGACUUCGGCGUAUGCCUGGAAUCGUAUUCCGAUAUCCCAAGCCCGAGAAAUGAAUUUUUUUUUAAAAAUAUUUCUGGAAUUGUUUAAAGGAAUUUGAAAUGAAAUUUGAUUAGAACAUGAUGGUAUCGUGCCUGUAUUCUGGUUUUGGUGCCCGGUACAUGUCUUAUAGAUGAUUUAAGACGAUCCUAUGAAAUUUGGUGAAAAACAGAUGCCAUUUGACGUGAUUUAGACCUAAACGGAAAAAGUUGAGGUUUAAGAAGUUUUGAAAUAUUUCAUUGAUUUUGAGGUUUCAUUCCUUUUUGAUGGUGUUGUUUUGGUAAUUUGAUCGCACGGUUUAGUUCAUAUGAUACUAUUGAGUUAGUACGAGCAUUUGGUUAAGAGCCCCGAGGGCUCGGGUGUGUUUCAGAUGUGUUUCAGGAGGUUUUUGGACUUAAGAAAUGUUGUAGAUUUUGCUAUUCUGUGCAUAGAUAAUUUGUUCUUCGCAUUCGCGUGGUCCCACUCGUAUAUGGCAAAAUCCCAAGUGCCAGUUUUCUUCUUCGCGAACACGAAGCCUGAGACGCGAACGUGGGGCUGGGAGGGGGGAGUACCCUUCGCGAACGCAUCCAGGUACUCGUGAACGCGUAAGGUAAUGGGCCCAGGGAGGGAGUUGUCAGUUAUUCUAGGUGAUCGUGGCCAUUGGUCUGAGAACGCGAGGGCCCGAGGCGUUAAAGCUCCGCGAGUGCGAAGGUCUUCAGGCUUGACUCAUCAUGAGCGCGAUGAGCCUGUUGCAAACUUGAUGGGUAAAUUCGCCCAGUUCUUUUAAGUCUCAAAUAAUAUCACUUGUGGGAUUUUCAUAAAAUUUCAUUAACCUUUUCUUCUCCAAAGCUCUUAGGCAUUUUUGAAGCAUUUCCUCACCAUAAUUUCUUAGGUAUGUAAUCUUUAACUUGUUUGCUUCCAUUUUAUCAACACCCACUAGAUUUCUAGGCCUAAAACAUGAGAUUAAGGGUAGAAAAUUAGGGAUUUGGGUAGAGUUAGGGCUUUUGAUUUAAUUAUGAUUUAGAUCUCGUUUUGGGGACAAAUUCUGGAACUAAUUAUAUAUUCGGGCUAGUGGGUGAAUGGGGGAUUAGAUUUUGGUCCGAACCUCGUGUUUUGACUAUGUGUGUUCGGGGUUAAUUUUUGGAUUUUUGGGAAGAAUGAAUAGAAAGCUAUAAUUAGGCAUUGGAAUCGAAUUGUUUAGCGUUUAUUGAUAUUAUGAAGUCAAUUUUAUAUAUAUAUAUNNNNNNNNNNNNNNNNNNNNNNNNNNNNNNNNNNNNNNNNNNNNNNNNNNNNNNNNNNNNNNNNNNNNNNNNNNNNNNNNNNNNNNNNNNNNNNNNNNNNNNNNNNNNNNNNNNNNNNNNNNNNNNNNNNNNNNNNNNNNNNNNNNNNNNNNNNNNNNNNNNNNNNNNNNNNNNNNNNNNNNNNNNNNNNNNNNNNNNNNNNNNNNNNNNNNNNNNNNNNNNNNNNNNNNNNNNNNNNNNNNNNNNNNNNNNNNNNNNNNNNNNNNNNNNNNNNNNNNNNNNNNNNNNNNNNNNNNNNNNNNNNNNNNNNNNNNNNNNNNNNNNNNNNNNNNNNNNNNNNNNNNNNNNNNNNNNNNNNNNNNNNNNNNNNNNNNNNNNNNNNNNNNNNNNNNNNNNNNNNNNNNNNNNNNNNNNNNNNNNNNNNNNNNNNNNNNNNNNNNNNNNNNNNNNNNNNNNNNNNNNNNNNNNNNNNNNNNNNNNNNUAUAUAUAUAUAUAUAUAUUUAUGCCACUGAUUUGAAGCCGAAUUCGAAAGGAAAACUGGUGUUUGAGGCUUGAGUUGACCGUGAAAGUUCGGGGUAAAUGUUUCGUCUAACCUUAGCUUGAGGUAUUAGGUGUUGAGUCCUAUUUGCUAUCUGUUUCUUGUUGAGUACGACGUAUAAGUAUGUUGACGAGUGUCUAUAUAUUGGUGUGGAGCAUGACCGCGAGUCUUAAAUUGAUAUUUGUCGUAUUCUUAAAUGAUACUAUGGAUGCUUUAGUGGGUAAAUUCUUGACAUUAAGCAAAUACUUAGUUUAUUUCCGUGGAAUCUACUUAUGAUUAAGUAAUGGUGAUAAGUAAGAUGAGUAGGAGUUGAGUUAAGAUUAGUUAUAGCUGAUUCUCCCUUGCCGAGAUGUAUAUACUUGUACUGCUAAAUUCCCUUGCCGGGAUAGUGUAAUUAUUGUUGAUUCCCUUGCCGAGAUGAUAAUUAUGAUUAGUGUUGACUAUAUACUUGAAACUAGUUCCGCAUCGCAACAUUUUUAUUAUAUAUGGAUCGGAUUGUGCGCCGCAACAUUAAUAUAUAUGGACCUGGUUGCAUGCUAAAACAAUAUUAUGUUGGAUCGGGUUGCACACCGCAACAAAUACUGUAUUGGAUCGGGUUGCGCACCACAACAGUUAUAUUGAUGGAUUGGGUUGCACGUCGCAACAAUAUUUUAUAUGGAUCGUGUUGCAUGCCGCAACAAUGUUAUGUUGGACCAGGUUUCACGCUGCAAUAAAUAUUAUAUUAGAUCGAGUUGCAUGCUGCAACAGUUAUAUAGGUGGAUCAGGUUACACGCCACAACAAUGUUAAAUGAUAAGGGAUCGGGUUGCGUGCCGCAGCAGUAGUAUUACUUUUUUGUUGUAGAUAUUGUACCAUCCUUUCUGAUUUCUACUUAGUUUCUUCUAGAUUUGAUAUGUUCCCUGAAGCAUGUACCCCCUCCCAUUUAAACUGCUUAUUCCUUUUAUUUUCCGCCAUAUAUUAUUUAACUACACAGGUUUAUCUAGAGACUGGUCCUAGCCUCGUCACUACAUUGCCGGGGUUAGGCAAGACACUUACCAGCACAUGGGAUCGGUUGUGUUGAUAAUACACUCUGCACUCUUUACAGAUACCGGAGCAGCAUUGGAACAGUAGCUUCGGAGCCAGCCUUCAGUUUACCGAGAUUCUGAGGUAGUCUUGAAGGCGUCCGUAGGCUGUGCGUCUCUUCUAUCUACUAUUAUGUUCUGUUAUCACUUGUAUCCGAGACAGACUGAGUUUCUUUAUAUUAGACAUUUGUAUGUAGUAAUCAUAGACAGUCUGUGAAUGUUGUGACACCGAUUUUUUAGGUAGAGACAUAUGUUGGAUAUUCGUAUUUUGGUAUUAUAUUUGUCUAAGUCUUCCGCUUAAAGAUUUUCUUCCUCUAUUAUUUUACUGUUUACCACCUGUUGCUACAAGUAGUUAAAAGUAUUCAAAAUGAAAAGGUUAAAGAUUUCAAAAUAUUGUGGCUUGCCUAGCUUCUACGAGUAGGCACCAUCACGACUCCCGAGGGUGAGAAAUUUAUGUCGUGACAAGUUGGUAUUAGAGCUUAAGGUUACAUAGGUCUCACAAUUCACAGACAAGUUUAGUAAAGUUUGUGGGAUUGGUAUGAAGACGUCUAUAAUUAUUCCCUAGAGGCUACAGAUUUAGGAAAACUUCACAUUGUUCGUUCUUAUCAUGCAGAUUGGUUUCUCAAUACUAAUUGAAUUUCUACUAUGUUCUUUCGUAGAUGGCGAGAACACGCACUUCCUCAUCUACCGAUAAGCAGCUUGAGCCCCUAGCAGCAGCUCCCACGAGGGGCAGAGGGCGAGGCCGAGGCAGGGGCAGAGCUCAGCCCAAGGCAGCAUCACCCGUAGCGGAGCCUCUAGUUGGCUUUGAUGACGAGGUUCCGACCCCAACAGUUUUAGUGGGCCCAGCUCAGGUCCCAGAGGGGUUUAUUGCUACUCCAGUUCUUCAGGAUGCUCUGGCACAUCUAGUGGGCCUUAUGGAAAGUGCUUUCGGGGCAGGCUUACUUCCUGUAGCACCAGCCGUCUCUCAGGCUGGAGAGGAGCCCAGACUCCUACUACUCGCACUUUGGAACAUGUAACUCCUCAGUUUCAAACUCCAGCGGCUCAACCAGUUGGAGUAGUUCAGCCGGGUAUGGUAGCUCUGACCGAUGAAGGGGCAACUAUGUCUGUCGAUGCUUUGUAGAGAUUAUAUAGGUUCACCAAGCUCUUCACUACUGCUUUCAGCGGUGCAUCUACUAAGGAUCCCUAGGAUUAUCUAGACAGCUGUCACGAGGUUCUUUGGAAUAUGGGGAUACUUGAGACAAACUUGGUUGAUUUUGCCACAUUUCGCUUGUCUGGAUCCUCUAAGACUUGGUUGAGGGAUUAUUGCAUAGCAAGACCAGCAGGAUCGCUAGCCUUGACCUGGGAGCAGUUCACACUGCUAUUUUUGGAGAAUGUUCUCCCUUUCACGCAACGAGAGGCCUAUUAGAGUCAGUUUGAGCGCCUCCAGCAAGGAUCUAUAAUUGUCACCCAGUACGAGACUAGAUUCAUUGAUUUGGCUCGCUAUGUUCUUAUCAUACUUCCCACUAAGAGGGAGAGAGUGGGACAAUUUAUUGAUGGACUAGUUUAGCCGAUUCGUCUCCAGACGGGUAGAGAGACUAGGUGUGAGAUAUCCUUCUAGGAGGCAGCUAAUGUGGCUCGGAGAGUUGAGAUGGUACUAUCACAAGAGGGUGGUCAUGGGGCAGACAAGAGACCCCGUCAUUCGGGCAGAUUCAUUGGUACCUCGUCUGGAGGUAGAGAUUUGUUUGGUAGAGGCCAUCCUCCUAGGCCUUUUCAGUUAGCACUCCAAGUUUUGCACGACGCUUCAGGUGGCUGUGGUUCUUACAUGCAGUAUUCUGGUCAUCAUCCCUACAGUUCACCACCAGCUCCUAUCACUGCAUCGCCACUCCAAAGUUUUCGAGGUGGUCAUUCAGGUCGCCAGGGUCAGUCUCAGCUUCCUAAGCCGCAACAUUCAGGUGGACGUUAUGAGUGUGGUGAGUAUGGUCAUAUCUAGAGGGCUUGUUCAAGGUUGGUGGGUACUCAGUCGUAGCAGCAGGGUUCCCGUGCUAUGGUUUAGGCACCAAGUGUUCUAUAGACCGAGCAGCCAACUAGAGGUGGGGGUAAAGGUGCUAGAGGUGGAGGUAGAGGAUUUAGAGGUGGAGCUCAGACCGUCAAUGGUGGAGGCCAGCGAGCUGCAAGCCAUCCCAAAGAUGUAGUCCAAGGUGGUGGGGACCAGCCCCGAUGUUAUGCUCUUCCAGUCAAGCCCGAGGCUGAGGCUUCAGAUGCAGUUAUCACCGGUACAAUUCCGGUUUGUGAUAGAGAUGCUUCAAUGUUAUUUGAUCUAAGGUCUACUACUCGUAUAUGUCAUCUUAUUUUGCACCGUAUCUGGUCAUGCCUAGUGAUUCCUUGAGUGUCCCUAUAUGUGUGUCUACACCAAUGGGCGAUUAUAUUUUGGUAGACCGAGUCCAUCGUUCUUGUAUUAUGGUUAUUGGAGACCUUGAGACUCGUGUAGAUUUGUUGCUUCUGGACAUGGUUGAUUUUGAUGUUAUAUUGGGGAUGGACAGGUUAUCACCUUACCACGAUAUUUUGGACUGUCAUGCCAAGACUGUGGCCUUAGCCGUAUCGAGUUUGCCUCAUUAUAGUGGAGAGGAAAUCCUAGUCAUUUUACCUUUAGUGUUAUCUUGUAUGUGAAGGCUCGGCGUAUAGUCGAGAAGGGGUGUUUGGCCUAUUUGGCAUAUGUUUGUAAUUCUAAUGUCGAGGUUCCUUCUAUUGAUUCUAUGCCCGUUAUUCAUGAGUUUCCUGAGGUAUUCCCUUCAAACCUUCCGGGUAUGCCGCCCGAUAGGGAUAUUGACUUUUGCAUUGAUUUGGCUUCGGGCACAUAUCCCAUUUCUAUCCCGUUGUAUCGUAUGGCCCCACCUGAGUUGAAAGAGUUAAAGGAGUAGUUGCAAGACUUGCUUGAAAAAGGUUUUAUUAGACCCAGUGUUUCGCCUUGGGGUGCGCUGGUGUUGUUUGUUAUAAAGAAGGAUGGGUCAAUGAGAAUGUGUAUUGAUUACCGGCAAUUGAGCAAGGUUACAAUCAAGAAUAAGUAUCCGCUGUCGAGGAUUGAUGAUUUGUUCGAUCAGCUUCAGGGUGCCAAGGUAUUUUCAAAGAUUGACUUGAGAUUUGGCUACCAUUAGUUGAGGAUUAGGACAUCCGAUGUCCCUAAGACAGCCUUUCGCGCUUCAUACGGGCAUUAUGAGUUCUUGGUUAUGUCAUUCGGGUUGACAAAUGCCCCAACAGCUUUCAUGGAUUUUAUGAACCGAGUGUUCAGGCCUUAUUUGGAUUCAUUCACGAUAGUCUUCAUUAAUGAUAUAUUAAUAUAUUCCCGCAGCGAGGCGGAGGACGAGCAACACCUUAGAGUGAUUCUUCAGACUCUAAAGGAUAGUCAAUUAUAUGCAAAGUUCUCGAAGUGUGAGUUUUGGUUAAGUUCAAUUGCAUUUCUGGGUCAUGUUGUAUCAACAUAGGGUAUUUAGGUUGAUCCGAAGAAGAUUGAGGCAGUCAAGAACUGGCCUAGACCAGCAUUAGCUACAGAGAUUCGUAUUUUCUUGGAUUGGCAGGCUACUAUCGUCUGUUCGUAGAGGGGUUCUCAUCUGUCGCAACCCCGAUGACUAGGUUGACCUAGAAGGGUGACCAGUUUAGAUGGUCGGAUGAGUGUGAGGCGAUCUUUCAGAAGCUUAAGAUAACUCUGACUACGGCACCAGUGUUGGUUUUACCUACAGGUUCAUGUCCUUAUACAGCUUAUUGCGAUGCUUAUCCUAUUGGACUUGGUGUAGUGUUGAUGCAGGAUGGCAAGGUCAUUGCCUAUGAUUCACGGCAGUUAAAGCUUCAUGAGAAUAAUUACCCGGUUCAUGAUUUGGAGUUGGCAGCCAUUGUUCACACAUUGAAGAUUUGGAGGCACUAUCUGUAUGGCGUGGCAUAUAAGGUAUUCACGGAUCACAAGAGUCUUCGGUAUUUUUUAUAGCAAAAGGAGUUGAAUUUGAGACAGAGAAGGUGGUUGGAGUUGUUGAAAGAUUAUGAUAACACCAUAUUUUAUCAUCCCGGAAAGACCAAUGUGGUGGCCUAUGCCUUGAGUAGUAAGUCAACCAGUAUGGCAGUCUUGCUUAUAUUCCGAUCGGUGAGAGACCGUUCCGAUCGGUGAGAGACCGCUUGCUUUGGAUGUUCAGGCUUUGGCCAAUCAAUUCAUGAGGUUAGAUGUUUUUGAGCCUAGUCAUAUGAUAGCUUGCACGGUCUCUCAUUCUUCUUUAUUGGAGCGUAUCCGUGAUCAGUAGUAUGAUGAUCCCCAUUUGUGUGUCCUUAGAGACACGGUGCAGAGCAGAGGUGACAAGUAGGUUACCUUAGAUGAUGAUGGAGUUUUGAAAUUGCAGGUUCGAGUAUGUGUGCCUAAUGUGGAUAGACUUCGGGAGUUGAUUUUUGAGGAGGCCCAUAAUUCUCGCUACUCUAUUCAUCCGGGCGUCGCGAAGAUAUAUCAGGAUUUGCGGCAACAUUAGUGGUAUCAGAGAAUGAAGAAGGAUAUUGUUGCAUAUUUAGCUCAGUGUUUGAAAUGUCAGCAGGUUAACUACGAGCAUCAGAGGCGUGGUGGUUUAUUUUAGAAGAUUGAGCUUCCCGAGUGGAAGUGGGAGCGGAUCAUUAUAGGUUUUGUUAUUGGGCUCCCACAAACUCGGAAGAAGUUCGACACAGUAUAGGUCAUUGUUGAUAGGCUGACCAAGUCAACACAUUUCAUUCCUAUGGCAGUCUCCUAUUCUUCUGAGAGGUUAGUUGAGAUCUAUAUUCGGGAGAUUGUUCGUCUUCAUAAUGUUCCUGUGUCUAUCAUUUCGGACUGAGGUACGCAAUUUACCUCGCGUUUAUACAGAGCAGUUCAUCCAGAGUUGGGAACGCGGGUGAAGUUGAGUACAACAAUUUCAUCCUCAGACGGACGGGCAGUUCAGAUUUUUGAGGAUAUGCUCCGAGCUUGUGUCAUUGACUUUGGAGGCUCGUGGGACCGGUUUUUGCCUUUAGUGGAGUUUUCUUACAACAGCUACCGGUAGAGUAUCCACAUGGCUCCUUAUGAGGCUUUAUAUAGUAGGCGGUAUCGGUGUCUAGUAGGAUGGUUUGAACCGGGAGAGGCUCGUUGUUGGGUACGGAUCUGGUUCAGGAUGCCUUGGACAAGGUCAGGAUCAUUCAGGAUGGGCUUUGUACAGCUCGGACCAGGCAAAAGAGUUAUGUCGACCGCAAGGUUCACAAUUUAGCUUUCAUGGUUGGUGAGUGGGUAUUUCUUCGAGUGUCGCCUAUGAAGGGCUUGAUGAGAUUUGGGAAGAAGGACAUGGUUAGCCCUAGGUUCAUUUGUCCGUUCGGGAUUCUUGAUCGAGUGGGAGAGGUGGCUAAUAGACUUGCAUCCGCUGAGCUUAUGAGCCGUGCAUCUAGUGUUUCAUGUGUCCAUGCUUUAGAAGUAUCACGGCAAUCCAUCCCAUGUGAUAGAUUUCAGCACUGUCCAGUUGGACAAGGAAUUAUCUUAUGAGGAGGAUCUAGUGGCUAUUCUAGACCGGUAGGUUCGUUUGUUGCGAUUGAAGAGUUUUCCUUCUAUUCGUGUUUAGUGGAGAGGUCAGCUUCCUGAGGCAUCGACCUGUGAGUCCGAGUCUGAUAUACGAGCCGUUAUCCCCAUCUUUUCCCUGACUCAGGUACUUUCUUCUUCUGUCCGUUCGGGGACGAAUGGUUGUUUUAGAGGUAGAGAAUGUGAUGACCCAAAAGGUCAACACUUGCAUUGAAAUUAAAUCUAUGUUUCAGAGGUCUUGAAAACCUCGUUUAGAGUCAGCUUGGUCUGCGUGCGUAGUCCGAACGCGUAGCUGAAAAGCUUAAAUAUGAAAAUUUGUGAAAAAUGAUAAAAUUUGGCUAUAAAAUAAGUUAAUUUGACUUCGCUCAACCUUUUGAGUAAAUGGACUCAGACCCGUAAUUUGAUGGUGGAAAAUAUGGGACUUGGGCAUAUGCCUAGAAUCGAAUUCCGAUAUCCCAAGCCCAAGAAAUGAUUUUUUUGAAGAAAAUUAUUUUCUGAAACUAUUUAAAGGAACUUGAAAUGAAAUUUGAUUAGAACAUGAUGAUAUCAUGCCCGUAUUUUGGUUCCGGCGCUCGGUACAUGUCUUAUAUAUAAUUUAAGACGAUCCUGUGAAAUUUGGUGAAAAACGGAUGUCAUUUGACGUGAUUUAGACCUAAAUGGCAAAAGUUGAGGUUUAAGAAGUUUUGAAAUAUUUCAUUUAUUUUGAUGUUUCAUUCAUUGUUAAUGGUGUUAUGUUGGCAAUUUGAUCGCAUGGUUAAGUUCAUAUGAUAUUAUUGAGUUAGUACGUGCAUUUGGUUAGGAGCCCCGAGGGCUCGGGUGUGUUUCGGGAGGUUUUUGGACUUAAGAAAUGCUGCAGAUUUUGCUAUUCAGUGCACAGGGAAUUUGUUCUUCGCAUUCUCGUGGUCCCACUCGUAUAAGGCAAAAAUCCCAAGUGCUAGUUUUCUUCUUCGCGAACACGAAGCCUGAGAUGCGAACGCGAGGCUGAGGGGCGAGUACCCGUCGUGAAAUCGUCCAAGUACUCGCGAACGCAUAAGGCAAUGGUCAUGGGGAUGGAGUUCUCAAUUAUUCUACGCGAAUGCGACCGCUAGUUCGUGAAAGUGUGGGAUCGAGGGGUUAAAGCUCUACAAAUGCUAGCCAAUUGUCGUGAACCCGAAGGUCUUCAGGCUUGACUCAUCGCAAACGGGAUAAUCCUGUCAUGAACGCGAAGGAUAAAUUCUCCCAAUUAUUUUAAGUCUCAAAAAUAGAACACUUAUGGGAUUUUCAUAAACUUUCAUAAACCUCUUCUUCUCGAAAGAUUUUAGGCGAUUUUUGAAGCAUUUCCUCACCAUAAUCUCUUGAAUAAAUAAUCUUUAACUUGUUUUCUUCCAUUUUUAUCAACACCUACUAGAUUUCUAGGCGUAAACAUGAGAAUAAUGGUAGAAAAUUAGGGAUUUGGGUAGAAUUAGGGAUUUUGAUUUAAUUAAGUUUUAGACCUCGUUUUGGAGUCGAAUUCUGGAAUUAUUUAUAUAUUCAAGCUUGUGGGUGAAUGAGGGAUCGAAUUUUGGUUCGAACCUCGUGUGUUGACCGAGUGGACUCGGGGUCAAUUUUUGGAUAUUUGAGAAGAAUUAUUAGAAAGCUAUAAUUAGGCAUUGAAAUUGAAUUUUUAGUGUUUAUUGAUGUUAUAAAGUCGAUUAUGUAUUGAUACUAUUGAUUUGGCACCGAACACGAAAGGAAAGCCGGUGUUUGAGGCUUGAGUUGGUCGUGGAAGUUCGAGGUAAGUGUCCAUUCAAACGUUAGUUUGAGGGAUUAUGAGUUGAUUCCUAUUUGCUAUUUGUUUCUUGUUGAGUAUGACAUAUGAGCAUGGUAACGAGUAUCUAUAUGUCGGUGUCGAGCAUAUCCGUGAGUCUUAAAUUGAUACUUGUUGUAUUCUUAAAUGAUACUAUGGAUGCUUUAGUGGGUAAAUUAUUGACAUUGAGCAAAGACUCAAUUUAUUUUCGUGGAAUGUACUUAUGAUUGUAUAAUAGUGAUAAUUGAGAUGAAUAGGAGUUGAGUUAAAUUUAGUUACAGCUGAUUCUCCCUUGUUGGGAUGUAUAUACUUGUACUACUAAAUUUCAUUACUAGGAUAGUGUAGUUAUUGUUGUUUCCAUUACCGGGAUGAUUAUUAUGAUUGUUGUUGAUUUUAUAUUUGGAACGGGUUGCACGCCGCAAUAUUUUUAUUAUAUGUGUAGGGGGUUGCAAGCUACAACAUUAUUCUAUAUGGAUCAGGUUGCACACCGCAACAAUGUUAUGUUGGAUCGGGUUGCACGCUGUAACAAAUAUCAUAUUGGAUCGGAUUGCACGCCGCAAUAGUUAUAUAGAUGGAUCGGGUUGCAUGUCACAACAAUAUUAUGUUGGAUCCGAUUGCACGCCGCAACAAAUAUUAUAUUGGAUCGAGUUACACACCAUAACCGUUAUAUAUAUGGAUCGGGUUGCACGCCGCAAUAGUGUUAAAUGAUAAGGGAUCAGGUUGCGCGCCGCAACAGUAGUAUCACUAUUUUAUUGUAGAUAUUGUACUGUCCUUUCAUAUUUCCAUUUAGUUUCUGUUAGACUUGAAAUGUUCCCCGAAGCAUGUACCCCCUCCCAUUUAAACUGCUUAUUCCUGUUUAUUUUCCAUCAUAUAUUAUAUAACUGCAUAUAUUUAUCCGGAGUCAGGUCCUAGCCUCGUCACUACUUCACCGGGGCUAGGCCAGACACUUACCAACACAUGAGGUCGGUUGUGCUGAUGCUACACUUUGCACUCUGUGCAGAUACCGGAGCAACAUUUGUACACUAGCUUAGGAGCUAGCCUUCAGUCCAUCGAGAUACCGAGGUAAUCCUGCAGGCGUCCGCAAUCCCGGCGUCUCUUCUAUCUACUAUUAUGUUCUAUUAUCUCUUGUAUCCGAGACAGACUAAAUUUCUUUCUCUCAGACAUUUGUAUGUAGUAAUCAUAGAUAGUCCAUGAAUUUUGUGACACUGGUUUUAAGGGUAGAGACAUAUAUUGGCUAUUCGUAUCGAUUUUGGUAUUAUAGUUGUCUAAGUCUUCUGCUAUUAUUUUACUGUUUACCACCCGUUGCUACAAGUAGUUAAAAGUAUAAAAAAUGAAAGGUUAAAGAUUUCUAAUUUUGUGGCUUGCCUAGCUUCUACGAGUAGGUACCAUCACGACUCCCGAGGGUGAGAAAUUCGGAUCGUGAUAAUAGUACUCUCCCAAUAUCAAAUGAGUUCUUCAAGGUUAUUGUUAUCAUCAUUUUAGAUUUAUCUUUGUGCAUAAUUAUUCGUUAUCAUCCACAACUCUUCAAGCUUUUUUGAAGGACUCAAAGUUUAAUAUAUUUACCAAAUUAAAUAUAGGAACCUAAGAAAAAAAGAAAUAAAGUAGAGGCACAUACUUCACUUGCAAAAAGUUAGGGUAAGGAGCUGUAUAUUACCAAAAAGGAUUUGAAAGUAUCUUAAUUUAAUGGAAAUAUACUUUAGUAUAUGAAAUAAUAAAUAGCAAAUAUAAGGACGUAUUUGAAAGAGCAAACCUUUUUGAUUAGCAAACUAACAAGAUAGUUACAAGUAACUAAGGACUAUAAAACUUUUUGCAUUGUCCUUUAUAUAUAGUAGUAAAGUAUAUGAAGUAAUAAAUAGUAAAUACAAGGGCAUAUUUGAAAGAACAAACCCUUUUGAUUGGCAAACUAACAAGAUAGUUACAAUGUAACUAAGGACUACAAAACGUUUUACAUUGUCGUUUAUAUAUAGUAGUAAUAUAGAGGAUUUUCAGAAACCAUUAUUAUUUAGUGGCUAUUAACUUCCUAUAGCUACCAUAUACAUAAUUACUUCCUAUAGCUUCUAAUCAGUUGUUACGAUAGUGUAUUGGCUGUAUUUGCGCCGAUGUAUUCAUAAAUACAGUAGCAAAAAAUACCUAAAAAUCAGGGUAGUCCAAUUGUACGCGCAUGUAUUCACAUGUAUUCACGCCAUAUAUUCAUGAAUACAACAACAAAAAGUACUUAUAAUCGGGAUAGUCCAGCUAUACACAUAUGCAUUCACAUGUAUUCACGCUAUUGUAUUCAUGAAUACAACGGUAAAACUGCCUAAAGUCAGGACAGUCUAGUUGUACGCGCAUGUAUUCACAUAUAUUUGCGCCACGUAUUUAUGAAUACAACAGCGAAAAGUGCCUAAAAUCAGGACAUUCCAGCUAUACGCGCAUGUAUUCACAUAUAUUCACGCUAUUGUAUUCAUGAAUACAGCAGUAAAAAGUGCCUAAAAUCAUGGCAGUCCAGCUGUACGCGCAUGUAUUCAUGAAUACAGCAGCAAAAAGUACCUAAAAUCGGGGCAGUCUAGUUGUACGCGCAUGUAUUCGUAUUUGUUAUAUUCAUCAAUACAACAAUAAAAAACACCUAAAAUCAAGAAAGUCCAGCUGUACAUGCAUUUAUUCACAUGUAUUCACGUCAUGUAUUCAUGAAUACUGUAACGGCAAUCACUUUAAAAAUAGGUAUGUCUAGCUGUUUAAGAGAGGAAAAACAUAAAUAGCGUGUUUCAUGUCUCAAUGGUAGUAUAUACCAUAAAUCCUUAUUUUGUUAUAAAAUAUAAAAGGUAGCUAUAGAAAAUAAUAUUUUUAAAUAAUUUUGAUAUAUAAUAAAUAGGAUUGUAUCUUUGCUAUAUUAGGUAAAAUUUCCGUAGUAUAUACUAGAUGUGGCCCGUGAACAACACGGUCCCAACAAUUUGAUCUGGAAUGUACUCAACCAAUGAUAAGAUAAAAAGUUUCUUCAGAUGCUAACAUAUGUUCUUCUCAAAGCCAACAAAUAAAUUCUGAAUAUCUAUACUUCACAACAGAAUAUGAUUCAUUUUUCCUUCAAAACAGCUCAUGUUCCUUUCAAGUCACAUUUCCCAUAUUAUACAUGAGGGAAUUUGUUCCCACGUCUUCUUCAAUAUUCUAUUCAUGCCUUGAACUUACAAACUGUCAAGCAGAUCCUUAAAAUUUUGUGGCAUCACCCAAAUUGAGUCCAUAUCAUCCAAGUGCUUGCAGUGCAGAAGCAAGUGGCUUACUGUUUCAGUGUCAUUCUCAAAAAAAGCAUCUACUGCAUAAGUUAUACCUCUCCUCUGCAAGUUAAGACAUGCACCAUGCACGGCAAUCCACUUAAAACAUACAACUUUAGAUGGAGCUUUAUUUAUCCACAUCUCCCAAAGCCAGUGAAUUUCAUAAUCACCAGUUUGGUUUUUCAGUACUUCAUAACACGAUUUCACAGAGAAAUUUCCAUCCCUGCUUGCUGAGCAUAACAUAGAUCUCAUUUGCCUUCUUCAAGUGCUAUAACAUAUAAUAGUUGCAUGAAAUCACUAACUUCAUCCAUGUCACUAAUUACAAGCCAAUGAUGAAAGAAGUAAGAUUCAAUUACAUGUAGGAAUGUGGUCAAGAUAGUCAUUGCUAAGAUAAAAAGUUUAUUCUUCAGAUGAACAUUAGUCAUUAGCUAAAGCCUGUGAUAAAAGAAGUACUUAUGAAUAUCUCAGGAAAUUAGAAUUCGAGUUAAGUUUUUGUUUAAAAUCUUUAAAUGCACUUGUCCAUCUUGAAAGAGAAAUGUUGUGAUCUUUUUAUCUUGCACAACUGGAGAAUGCAUAACACUCAUGUAGAACAGAUGGGAAAGAACUGUCAUGAUCCUAAGUUCAGACCCGAUCAUAUGGUACUUAUCGUGAAAAAAGACCAGCCGACACAAACAUUCAAUAAUAAUUAACAGUUAUUUAAUUCAUAAUUAAACCAUUAACAAGUGAUAAACCCCAGAAUACAGUGGAAUAGAACAAGUGCAAAAAUAAAUACAACCAAAUAUCGGGGUGUCACCAAUCAUGAGCAUCUAAAUACCCGUAUUAAGAGUAUAAAAGGGACUACACAGUCUAUUACAGAACUAACAUAGGGAAAGUAAGAUAAGAGGGAGAAGCACUUGGCUGCAAAAGAAGAGGAGCUACCUAGUGUACUCCGAACUGCCUGCUGGAAGCAAUCAUCACUCGCUAGCGGGACUCGAGGCUCCUCGAUCUGCACACAAGGUGCAUGGAGUAAAGUGACUACGCCAAAUUUGUGAGUAAUAAAAGUAAAAGCAGCCGAGCGAUAAGAAAAUACGUAAAACACAACAAUAUGCUGCAAGAGCCAGUAUAAAACCAGUUCAAUGCAAUAAAAUAGUGAAAGCUUGUAAAACACCUUAGUUCACUAUAAACUUCUUUAAAAAAUCUUUUAGCAGUUAAGCGAGAGAAUAAAAAACAGUGAGAAAAGAUAAACACAUAAAAUCAGCCCCUCGGGUAAAGUACCAACAGAAUCAGCCCUUCGGGCUAUCUCACAAUCACUCGUAGCCCCUCGGGCAAUAGCAUGGAAAAACAUCAGCCCCUCGGGCUAUAAUACAUCUCACACUGGGCACCCCCACUCACUGGGGUGUACAUACUCCAGGAGGGGCCUCUUACGGCUCAAGCGCAAUAUCAAGUUAUCUCGUGGCAUAAUAGGCUCUCGACCUCAUAUCAAGCCACCUUGUGGCGUACAACUCCGGUCCUCGGCCUCAUAAUCAUAGGUUAGAAUAACACUGCAACAACGUACAACCCAAUUCCAUAAUAACCUCACAACACAGGCCCUCGGCCCUACUCAGUCACAAAUCUCUAGAAGCCACUCGGGCAUAGUAAAAUAUAAUGCUCAUCACAAAAUACAAUUAAAGAUGUCAAAAUAGAUUAAACAUGGCUGAGUUAUGGAAACAACAGAACACAACAAGUCAGAGUACAAAUAUAAAAUCAAAACAGUGAGGAAAUAACAGUAAAAAUACCCUUAAGGAUACAAAACAAUCGACAGGAGGCCCUAAUAUGGCAUUCAGCCCAAAACAUGAUGAUAGCAAAUAGUUUUUAAUCAAAUAUGCUGUAAAACAGUCAUACGGAAUGGACUAGGUUACAAACCCCAAUGGUGCACGACCCCACGCUCAUCAUCUAAUGUGUGUGUCACCUCCAAAUAGCACAACGACAUGAAAUUUGAGGUUUCAUACCCUAGGACAAUAUUUACAAUCAUUAUUCACCUCUAUUCGGUCCAAACUCUAGCUCGCGAUGCCUUUUCCUUUCGAAACCGCCUCCGGAUGCUCCAAAUCUACCCAAAAUCAGUACAUAACCAUCAAAAUAUGCUAUGGGAACAAAGCCUACUCAAAAGUAAUCAAAUACCAUGCAAUUCCGAAAUUAAUCCAACCCGACCCCCGGGCCCAUGUCUCGAAACUUUAUAAUAUUUACAUUAAUAGUCUCCUUAUAUCCCCACGAGUUCAUACAUAUCAAAAUUACUAAAAUUCGACCACAAAUAACCCCUCAACCCUUGCGCAAAGGUCUCCAAUCUCAAGCCCUUGUUUCUUUAAUAUUUACCCACAAAUUUCCAUAAAUUUCAAGCCUAAUCAAUGAAAUAACAUCAUAGGAAUGAGUUUUAUAAUCAAAAUUCUUACCUCAACGAAGCUCCAUUUGAUUCUCUCUUCAAAAUCCCCCAAAAGCUCCAAAAUCGAUUUAAAAUGGUGAAGAAAGGCUAAAAUCACGAAGGAAAUAUUUGUAUACUUUCUGACCUAGGCUUUUCAAACAUACGGUCCUUCUUCGACUUUUGCGGUCCCUCUUCUGCGGUCUUGCCCUCUGCUCCUGCGGUUAUCACUUAAUUGCCCAAAGUCACAUCUCGAUCACAUACUCGCACAUGCGCUAUCAUAGGUGCACUCAACACACCGCAUCUGCGGCUCCUGUCGCUCACAUCCUUUACCGCGUUUUCAGUCUUUUCUACGAAUCUGUGGCAUCGCACUUGCGGUCUCCAAUACGCAGGUGCAGAAACAACAAAAGCAUAAAAAAUUCUGCAACUUCUCCAAAACUCCAAACUCUCCGUCAACCAUCUGAAAUCACCCCGAGGCCCCAUCUCAACCAAAAGUACGAACAAGUCAUAUACUACUAUUCAAACUUAUACCAAUCUUCAAAACACAUCAAACAACAUCAAAUCAACAAAAACACAUUGAAUUCAAGCCUAAGGUUCCAAAAAUCUUUUGAAUUACGCUUUUGAUAAAAAAUUCUAUCAAACCACGUUCAUAUUACUUGAAAUUUUGCACACACUUCCCAAAUGACACAACGAAAUUCCAUUCUGGCCCCUAGCCCCUGUAUCAAAAUAUCACCUAUCAACCGAAAAAUGAGUAAAUCCCAAUUUUGCCAAUUCAAGGCUAAAUCUACUACGAACCUCAAAAACACAUUCCAAUCAUACUCCUAAGUCCAAAUUAUCUCCCGAAGCUAUCCAAACCAUCAUAAUUCACAUUCGAGCCCUUUUUCAUAUUAAGCUAAAUCAAAAGAGACUAAGUAUCUCAAACCUGACCAAAACUAUUCCGGAUUUGAACCGACUAACCCGAUACCACAUAACACAUAUAAACAAAGCAUAAAGAAGUAGAAAUGGGGGAAAAAAGCAGUAACUCAUGAAAUAGUUGGUCGGGUCGUUACAAGAACUCAACUUAACUAUCUGGAGAAUAUUCCAUAUAUGUUUAAGAAGCAACUUACCAUUGAUAUUAUUUAUGGAAAUUAUCAAAUUCAGUAAAUUAUCAUAUAUAUAUAUAUAUAUAUAUAUAUAUAUAUAUAUANNNNNNNNNNNNNNNNNNNNNNNNNNNNNNNNNNNNNNNNNNNNNNNNNNNNNNNNNNNNNNNNNNNNNNNNNNNNNNNNNNNNNNNNNNNNNNNNNNNNNNNNNNNNNNNNNNNNNNNNNNNNNNNNNNNNNNNNNNNNNNNNNNNNNNNNNNNNNNNNNNNNNNNNNNNNNNNNNNNNNNNNNNNNNNNNNNNNNNNNNNNNNNNNNNNNNNNNNNNNNNNNNNNNNNNNNNNNNNNNNNNNNNNNNNNNNNNNNNNNNNNNNNNNNNNNNNNNNNNNNNNNNNNNNNNNNNNNNNNNNNNNNNNNNNNNNNNNNUAUAUAUAUAUAUAUAUAUAUAUAUAUAUUGUGUCUGCGUGUGUGUGUGUACAAUAGAGGGGUUUGACUUACAGUUUUAAGCUCCUGCUAAUAGUUGAGAGCUAUAUAAGCAAGCUUUUCUUAUAUCACAGUCAAGGAUCCUGUCAACACACGAUAACAACUAUGACUAACUUAUUGUUGGUACAAUUAGUCUAUUAUCGACUUAUAAUAAACAUGAUUGGAAGUGAUUACUCAAGCUACUUCUUCUUUUUCUUCUUCUUCUUAUGGUAUUAGAACAUUGAUUGGGAGACUCUUCAUCAUUUGAAUGAACUUCUUGAAUUAAUUCUUAUCAUUUGGCUUGCAAAUCUUUGAGGUAUGGAGGAGUAGGCUUAGGCAAUGGUGCCUAAGCCUUUCACACUAUCAGUUCAGGUAUAUCAAUAAUGUGAUCCCUAGACAGUUUCACCUCCUAUUGAGUCUCUUCCACACUAUCAUCAAUAUCAAUUCAAACUUCCUAAUUAGGAUGUAUCACAUUGAUUGGUGUUUCCUCUCUUGCACCAUUUGUUCAUCAUCAAAAAGUUGCCUUUGACUUGUGGUGGGUGCAUUCCUACCUCUUUCACUUCUUGUGGUAACAACCACGGCAUGUCGCGUAUUGUUUCCACCCUUUUGGUUUACUAUCGUCUCACUUGGUAGCACAACCAUGGCAUGUCGCGUAUUGUUUCCACCCUUUUGGUUUACUAUCGUCUCACUUGGUAGUUCCCGCUUAGGACUAGUAUUUAAUGUUUGAGAGAUUUUCCCCAUUUGAACUUCUAGGUUGCUGAUUAAUGUUGUUGUGUGAGGCAAGUUGGCAUCCAAAUCAGCAUUCUUUUCCAUCAUUUGCUUCAUCAUAUUUUCAAUUUUCCCCAUCUUAUUGUUUGAUGAACUUGAACCAUGGGAAAGAUAAGGAGGGGGGUUGCUCGGUUUUUGAUACAUCGGGGGCCUUUGAAAACCUACCUCCCGGUUUCCUUGAUUGUUGUUUCAUCCGCCUUGAUUGUUACCCCAACCCCUCUAUUUCCUUGAUUGUUGUAGUUGUUCCAAUUCCCUUUAUUGUUGCCAACACUCCAAUUUUCUUGGUUAUUUGAAUUCCAAUUGCCUUGAUUGUUUUGAGGUCGCCAUUAUAGUUGGUGUGGGGCUUGGAAAUUACAUCUUUUCCCUUGAAAAUUAUUCACAUAUUUCACCUCCUCUUCUUGUUCAUUAUAGUAAUCAUUUUGCUCAAAACUACAAUCUUCUUGCACAUAGUUCUCCACUCGAUUUUGCACAUGUGGACCGUUGUCCCUCCUCUUGUUCACCUUCAUGUUCACUCCCUCCAUGGAAUUGACUUGCUUGGAUUUUACACUUGAUUUAAUUAGGCCUUUGCUAGUUGAGUCAUAGUGGUUGUCACUUUGGCAAUGGCUUGGCCAUGGUCUUGCAAUUAUUUGUGAAGGUAGAUCAUAUUUGGGUUACCUUAUAGAACAUUGGCCUAGGAUUUCCAAGCCGAUGACUUUUCCACCAUCUCAUCCAAAAUCUCACACGUCUCCGCAUAAGGCGUAAUCAUGAAAUUCUCACUAGCAAGUUGAUUCACUACACAUUGGUUAGUUGUGUUAAUCCCACGAUAGAAGGUUUUUUGAAUCAUGUUUUCCAUCAUAUCGUUGUUGGGACAUUCCUUGACCAUAAUUCUAUAGCACUCUCAUAUCUCGUGUAGUGGUUCAUUCAGCUUUUGCUUAAAUACCAAAAUCUCAUCUCGAAGUGUAGCCAUAUGUCCCGGAGAUAAGAACUUAGAAAUGAACUUUUCCGCCAACUCAUCCCAAGUGUGAAUUGAGUGGUUCAACAAUCAUUUCAACCCAUCUAAAGCAUCCGUCGGUAUAGAGAAGGGGAAACCUGGUAGAUACAUUUGAUGUUUAAAGUCUUGGGUAUAAACUGAAAGCUGAUAUAAAAUGAUCACCAUCAUCCUUUUCAAAAAUGUUCAGAUAAUCAGUCUUGUGUAUGAAUUUGAACUGAAAAGGCGUUAUCAAGACUUGUUCAUAUGAACUCCCCGUCCAAGUUAACUCUAGGCCUAGUUGAGAGGCCCAACAGUGGCUAGACACAGUGUGUGUUCUCAGCCAGCUCAAAUUUGAGUCCAGUAUGUGCAAUUAGCCAUGAAUGAGGCUAAAAGGCGUGUAUUGUUCCCUCGAAUACGCGGGCCAUAUAUAAAUAAUUACUGCAUUUAAACACUAGCUAUAGUAGAGAAUUUAGUAUACAUUAGAACAUCUUAAAAUAAGGGGAACCGCGUUAAUCCCAUCAAAUAUCAUUCGAUGUCUCCUUAGUUCAUCAAAACACAUAGAAAAUAGGAAGUGUCAUUUAGCGAAUUUCACGGUCUUCCCACAAAUCUCGAAGACGUAGUUGCUAUAGGUGCGCGUGUUUAAUAAAAAUACCUUCUUAAAUUCAGGUGCACAUUUAUGUGACCAAAAUCCUAUUCUCAAUGGAAUUAAAAUAUGUCUAAAAUUGUGGGUGCAUUUAUGUGACGCGAUUCUCAACGUGUUUUAAAAACAUUGAAAAUUUUCCUAAAAGAUGUUAAAAAUCUAAAAUUGCGGGUUAACAGGUAUAGCAAAUCAUAUUUUAGUCACUUAUAAUGAGUUUAAGCGACCGUACUAGAACCACUGGAUCGGAGGGUGCCUAACACCUUCCCUCGGGUCAACAGAACUCCUUACUCAAGAAUUUCUGGUUCGCAGACUCCAAUUGGGUAGUCAAAAUUUCCUCGAUUUGGGAUUUCAAAUAAACCGGUGACUUGGGACACCAAAUGUCAAAUUUAUCCCAAGUGGCGACUCUUUUUCUUCUUCUUCUUAUGGUAUUAGAACAUUGAUUGGGAGACACUUCAUCAUUUGAAUGAACUUCUUGAAUUAAUUCUUAUCAUUUGGCUUGCAAAUCUUUGAGGUAUGGAGGAGUAGGCUUAGGCUUUGGUGCCUAAGCCUUUCACACUAUCAGUUCAGGUAUAUCAAUAAUGUGAUCCCUAGACAGUUUCACCUCCUAUUGAGUCUUCCACACUAUCAUCAAUAUCAAUUCAAACUUCCUAAUUAGGAUGUAUCACAUUGAUUGGUGUUUCCUCUCUUGCACCAUUUGUUCAUCAUCAAAAAGUUGCCUUUGACUUGUGGUGGGUGCAUUCCUACCUCUUUCACUUCUUGUGGUAACAACCACGGCAUGUCGCGUAUUGUUUCCACCCUUUUGGUUUACUAUCGUCUCACUUGGUAGUUCCCCCUUAGGACUAGUAUUUAAUGUUUGAGAGAUUUUCCCCAUUUGAACUUCUAGGUUGCAGAUUAAUGUUGUUGUGUGAGGCAAGUUGGGCAUCCAAAUCAGCAUUCUUUUCCAUCAUUUGCUUCAUCAUAUUUUCAAUUUUCCCCAUCUUAUUGUUUGAUGAACUUGAACCAUGGGAAAGAUAAGGAGGGGGGUUGCUCGGUUUUUGAUACAUCGGGGGCCUUUGAAAACCUACCUCCCGGUUUCCUUGAUUGUUGUUUCAUCCGCCUUGAUAGGUUGUUCGGUUGUUGGUACAUCGGGGGCCUUUGAAAACCUACCUCCCGGUUUCCUUGAUUGUUGUUUCAUCCGCCUUGAUUGUUGCCCCAACCCCUCUAUUUCCUUGAUUGUUGUAGUUGUUCCAAUUCCCUUUAUUGUUGCCAACACUCCAAUUUUCUUGAUUAUUUGAAUUCCAAUUGCCUUGAUUGUUUUGAGGUCGCCAUUAUUGUUGGUGUGGGGCUUGGAAAUUAUAUCUUUUCCCUUGAAAAUUAUUCACAUAUUUCACCUCCUCUUCUUGUUCAUUAUAGUAAUCAUUUUGCUCAAAACUACAAUCUUCUUGCACGUAGUUCUCCACUCGAUUUUGCACAUGUGGACCGUUGUCCCUCCUCUUGUUCACCUUCAUGUUCACUCCCUCCAUGGAAUUGACUUGCUUGGAUUUUACACUUGAUUUAAUUAGGCCUUUGCUAGUUGAGUCAUAGUGGUUGUCACUUUGGCAAUGGCUUGGCCAUGGUCUUGCAAUUAUUUGUGAAGGUAGAUCAUAUUUGGGUUACCUUAUAGAACAUUGGCCUAGGAUUUCCAAGCCGAUGACGUUUCCACCAUCUCAUCUAAAAUCUCACACGUCUCCGCAUAAGGCGUAAUCAUGAAAUUCUCACUAGCAAGUUGAUUCACUACACAUUGGUUAGUUGUGUUAAUCCCACGAUAGAAGGUUUUUUGAAUCAUGUUUUCCAUCAUAUCGUUGUUGGGACAUUCCUUGACCAUAAUUCUAUAGCACUCUCAUAUCUCGUGUAGUGGUUCAUUCAGCUUUUGCUUAAAUACCAAAAUCUCAUCUCGAAGUGUAGCCAUAUGUCCCGGAGAUAAGAACUUAGAAAUGAACUUUUCCGCCAACUCAUCCCAAGUGUGAAUUGAGUGGUUCAACAAUCAUUUCAACCAUCUAAAGCAUCCGCCGGUAUAGAGAAGGGGAAACCUGGUAGAUACAUUUGAUGUUUAAAGUCUUGGGUAUAAACUGAAAGCUGAUAUAAAAUGAUCACCAUCAUCCUUUUCAAAAAUGUUCAGAUAAUCAGUCUUGUGUAUGAAUUUGAACUGAAAAGGCGUUAUCAAGACUUGUUCAUAUGAACUCCCCGUCCAAGUUAACUCUAGGCCCAGUUGAGAGGCCCAACAGUGGCUAGACACAGUGUGUGUUCUCAGCAACUUGUUCAUAUGGACUCCCCGUCCAAGUUAACUCUAGGCCCAGUUGAGAGGCCCAACAGUGGCUAGACACAGUGUGUGUUCUCAGCCAGCUCAAAUUUGAGUCCAGUAUGUGCAAUUAGCCAUGAAUGAGGCUAAGAGGCGUGUAUUGUUCCCUCGAAUACGCGGGCCAUACAUAAAUAAUUACUGCAUUUAAACACUAGCUAUAGUAGAGAAUUUAGUAUACAUUAGAACAUCUUAAAAUAAGGGGAACCGCGUUAAUCCCAUCAAAUAUCAUUCGAUGUCUCCUUAGUUCAUCAAACACAUAGAAAAUAGGAAGUGUCGUUUAGCGAAUUUCACGGUCUUCUCACAAAUCUCGAAGACGUAGUUGCUAUAGGCGCGCGUGUUUAAUAAAAAUACCUUCUUAAAUUCAAGUGCACAUUUAUGUGACCAAAAUCCUAUUCUCAAUGGAACUAAAAUAUGUCUAAAAUUGUGGGUGCAUUUAUGUGACGCGAUUCUCAACGUGUUUUAAAAACAUUGAAAAUUUUCCUAAAAGAUGUUAAAAGCGGUUAAUAAUCUAAAAUUGCGGGUUAACAGGUAUAGCAAAUCAUAUUUUAGCCACUUAUAAUGAGUUUAAGCGACCGUACUAGAACCACUGGAUCGGAGGGUGCCUAACACCUUCCCUCGGGUCAACAGAACUCCUUACUCAAGAAUUUCUGGUUCGCAGACUCCAAUUGGGUAGUCAAAAUUUCCUCGAUUUGGGAUUUCAAAUAAACCGGUGACUUGGGACACCAAAUGUCAAAUUUAUCCCAAGUGGCGACUCUUGAAAUGAAUAAUUAAUCCCACAUCGAAUAAUGUCAGUUUAUUUGGAAAAAAUCCUAUGCACGUGUCACCUUUCAGGGUAACCACGUGUAAGCGGUAAAAAAAGAGGUGUGACAGGGCCUAAGGAAGGGGAUUGGCCCAGGCCUUGACAAAUUUGUGUGGUUUGGUUCAAGCUACCGAGUUAAUUUGACUCGUUCAUGGUUGGAUGGGUAAUAACAUGUUUCUGAAAGGGCAGUUUAGGAAAUUGGGGCAAGAAAUCUGGUGGCAACAUAAAUAGGAAACUUCUGAGAAGCUGACUUUGGGGUUGUUUUGAAAUUCUAAAAAGUAAAUAAGGUUUUCUGAGCUAAAACAGAAAUUAGAAAGGGGCAAGGUAUAAAUUUGAACCCUUUUGUAUGUUGCCCUACUUCCUUGCCUAUAAAGGCACUCUACAUUGUUAUUCAAGUGAGAGUUUCAAGAGAUAGAUAAUUCUGAAAAAAAACACAAACGGCUGAAAAAUUAAAGUGAAAUUACUGUUUCAUUGAAACUCCUUUUGUGAUUUCUUAAGUUUCCAAUUCCUGAAAAUAUUUUCUGAUUAAUCUAGAUUCAAAAUGGAUUUAAAUUGGGUGUUUGAGGUUUGGUUUUGAAGUUACUGUGGUUAUUGUUCGAGUGACACUAUCUUUUAUUGUUUUCACAAUCAUCUUGGUUUGAACUUGUGUUUCUAGUGCUGGCUUGCUACUAUUAUACUGUCGAGUCCUCAUUUUUUCUAUUUUGUUUUCGAGUUCCAGGUACAUUUUUCUGAGCUUUGCUUUGAUGUAAAUUUUAGCUGGAAGAUGGGAAUGAGAAGUUAAUGCAUUGCAGCAGACUUAUCUGAGUUUCAUUUAUUUAUUUUUAUUUAUUUUUUCCUUAGAUCGUAUGAAUCUUUGUUCAUUCUAGCUAAUUUGAGUUUUGAACAAUGGAUUCACAUAGUUGUACUUAAUUUGGGAUUGUUGAAGUGAUGGCAUUUUUGGUACGUUGUGAAUCGGACUUCGCCUUAGAUAAGAUGAUUGUCCAUGCUUGAUAAUGGUUUGUGUUCGAAAUAUUUUUUAAAUAGGCUAAGGGUAAUCAUGACCUUGUUUGAUAUAUUGUCAAAGGGCAGUGAGUGAUUUUAGUUUAAAAUAUGGUGUAGAAGUUGAAAUGCUUAUUCAGUAUGUUUAGAAGUGAAAAUUAAGGAAUGAGCAUGAUUUAGUUUUCAUGGCUUUCAAUAGUUGCAAACUGUUAUGGUCUCAUUGAUUAGCAUAUGAAUAUGUUUUAAAUAAAAUGGUUUAGAAAGGUUUUCAGUUAGUUCUAAUCAGUUUCUUGAUGCCCAGCAACUGUUAAUUUAAUCUGGUGGUUUUUCAAUGUCAAAUUUACAAAGCUACUGAUGUCUAAAAAUUCCUUUAUUGUCACACUGCCAAAUCUGAUUGCUUCUGCUAUUGUACAGGUUUCAUAUGGAAUCCCUGAAUGUCCAGCUUGUGUGUUACUUCGUACGAAUCAGGAUUAUAUUGGGCCUGACAUGAAACAACUUGCCCAGAAUCGGGAUAAGGUAUUAGGCAUCGGUUGGGCCUACUUGAUUUUGUUGGCCUAGUUCCCUUGCUUGAUAUUUUAUGGAUAUCAAUUUAACUUGGGUUUCUUAGAAUAAUAAAUAUUCUGAACUUCUAAAGUUGCCUCACUAUCAUAAUUAAUUAGACUUUCUAAAAUGAACUUGAGGUGUGCCAUAUUUAGCAACAAAUAUCUAUAGCCCUCAUGGUUAAGUCUAGAAAUUGGAAUUGAGGUGCGCUGCGCCAAAUAAAAUCUCAAAUACGUGGUCCUCAUUUAGUUACUUCUUUUAAAUCCUUAGAACUCGAGGCGUUCCAUUUAGAAAAUUUUCCACGGCCCUCGCAAAGUUAAAAAUGCGUAGUCGCUUUAGGCACGUUUUUAAUAAUAUUACCUUCCUAAACUCGGGUACGCAUUUCAUGUGACCCAAAUCACAAUGUUAAAUAAAAUGUGUCUCAGUCCGCAGGUGCAUUUCAUGUGGCGUGGUUCAAAAAUAUAUUUUAGAUAAUGUUGAAAUCUUCUUAAAAAUAAUUAAAAGCGGUUUUAAAGUUAAAAAUGUAUCAUGGACUAAAACAUGUAUUAAAUUAGAUAAUUGGUCAAUUAUAAUAGUUUAAGCGACCACGCUAGAACCACGGAAUACGGGGGUGCCUAACACAUUCCCUCGGGUUAACAUAAUUCUUUAUUCAGAAUUUUUGGUUUGUAGACUUCAAAAGGAAAGUCGAAAUCUUCCUCGAUUUGGGAUUAAAAAUAAACCGGUGACUUGGGACACCAGAAAACAAACCUACUAGUGGCGACUCUGAAUUGAAUAAAUAAUCCCAUUUUGAAUAGUGCAAGUUAAAUUGGAAAAACUCCCUUAUACACUAUCCUUCGGGGUUGGUGUAUUGUAAAAAUGAGGUGUGAUAGCUGGCCAUUAGGGUUUUGAGGUCUUUUUAUUCACUAUGUAUGAAGUUGUUCAUAAUACGUUUGAGACUUUGAGUUCCUAUUUUCUGGUUUCAUUUCUACAUGCUUCAAUUAGAAUUAAUUGCCUUAGGAUUCAAUCUUAUUGCCUAUUUGACUCUUAUUUGACUUAACUGAAGAUUUUGCCUCUUCUACCGUUAUGGUAUCUUUUCACAACCGUUUAACUUUAAUUGAAAUUAUUACUAUCUCAUCCUAUAAUUUUUAGUCUUAAUUGGAGCUAUGAUAUCUUCUGUUGCAUACCAUUAUUUGAAUUGUUGAAUAUCUUUUGCAAAUUGCUCAACCUUAAAAGGAGUUUAGAUAACAUAUAUCUUAGUUGACUUGACUUUAUUUAGGACUAUUGGACUCGUGUUGACUUCCUAAUUGUUGACUUGUAUAUUGUGGGAUCGUUUCUAUAUAGUUGUCUUCCCUUGUUGAACUGUUCCCUUUAUGCCUAGUAUUCUUUACUGUGAUUAUUCCUUGUGAACUGGUUCUACCGUUUCUUUGUGAUUUAAAGUUUUUGAGUUGAUUUACUCGGCAUACUUUGUAUUAUUGUCAUUUUUAAUGUUGCACUUGUUGUGGUGAUGUAUAAGGUUUAUGUUGUGCUAUAGCUAUUAUUUCUAUUGGUUGCGCUGCAUAUUUACUUUGGGGCUACAGGACGGUAUCCCCAUAGGGUUGUUUUACAUAUUUACUUUGGGACUACAAAAAGGUAUUCCGGUAUAUCCGUUGCACGUUUACGUUUGGGAAUAUGGGAAGAUAUACCAAUAAAUCUCCUUGUUCUGCAUAUUUACUUUGGGACUACAAAACGAUAUUCCGAUAGAUCUCCCAACACAUUUACAUUCGGGACUACAGGGUAGUAUACUGGGAUAUCCCAUGUUAUUAUCAUUGUGUUCAGAACUGUGCUUUUAAUUGAUCAUAUCCCUAUGCAAAUAUUCUACGUGUUGUCCGUUCUUUUCUUUAUGCUUACUUGCUGGUAUGAACUAUAUUAGGAAACUUGCACAAGUAUACACGUGGAUAAGCACCCUUAUCGGAUAAAAGGCUUCUUGAUAUUGCUGAAUAUAGAGACACUCCCUUCUUUAUUUGCCUUCCAUGUGAGAAUGGCUCUAUUUGGCACGUGAGUUAUCGGUACGAUUCUGAGGUAUGAUGAGGGCACAUGAUGCCAAGUGUUAGGGUUCAGGUAUUGAGAUCUGUAUUGUAUGAUUAUGAGGAGAGGUGUCAUAAGGUGACUUAUAAUCGAAGGAUAUUUAUUCGGAAAGAUUAUAUUUGAAAGGUAUUUAUUUUGAAAGAACUAUUUUUGAAAAAUAUUUAUUUGAAAAAAGUAUAUUUUGAAAUAUUUUUAUCACUUGAAGGAUUUGACUAAUUGAAUGGAGUUUGUUGGCUAAGACCUAAUGUGAAAAUUGUCCUAGUUGCUAAAUUAUGACUUGCCUUUACUGUGUUCGGAUUCGGAUUUGGGUUGUAUUUUCGUUCACUCUUCUGUAUUCUUAUUAUGGUGUUCCGCUGUUACUUGAGAUUUUCUUUCCUUAUUGCAAUUACUGUAUUGUUAUCCGCAUCACGUAUUCUUUAUAUAGAUGUCAUGUUAUGCUGUUUCUAUUCUUAUGCUUGUUCAAUUUAUUAGACUAGUAGGUGUCUUGACUAUUCCUCAUCACUACUCCACCAAGGUUAGUCUUGAUACUUACUAGGCACCACUGUGGUGUGCUCAUACUACACUUCUACAUAUGUUUUGUGCAGAUUCAGGUAUUGUUUGUUAGUAGCUGUGCAGAUGAUUCUUGCCGAAGAGACUCAAGGUAACCCUGCUGCUGCGUUCACAGGCUUCGGAGUUCCCUUUCUAUUUUGUAUUCACAAUGUUGUAUUUAUUUCCAUACAGUAAUGUUUAGAAUUUGUAGUGAAACUCUUUAGAGCUUAUGACUUAUACUACCAGUUUUGAGAAUUUGUAAGUUUUGUG
rnacentral:lncRNA from 1 species